rnacentral:lncRNA from 1 species
GUCUAAAAUCGCUCCCAUUUUUUUUUCUUGGCUCAACUUCAACUUUAUAUUAACCAAAGAGUAGUACAUGAUUUCAAUCACAAGAAUUCAACCACACUUACAAAAAAAGUGAUUUAAUAUCACCUAGGAACACAUAGAUACUUUGUUGUAAUUCUACCCAAGAGAACAAGUCCCCUCCAAACCGAAGAGAACCGUCUCUUAAACCCCUACAAUUCGACCACACAAGUGAACGAAACAUGAAACCCGAGCUUAACUAAACCUAAUCGAGGCUAAACUUCAAACCCAAGCAUUGGUCACCAAAACAAUAGAAUGCAGCACACGGACCAGUACUUCAACACCAAACAGUGCAUCUCUCGGCUAGGUUCAGUAUCAUCGGGCUCAGUUUCUCCCUUCUUAGCCGGAAAGACGGCAUAGAACCGUACUGAAAAGGCGGACUUGACGAUAGCAGUACGCGACCGGAAUAGCAUCUCCAUGCUUCAAAUGAUGUGAAACCUUACCACCAGACAAACCGCAGAGCCGUUGUUGGUGCUGGAAAGUAAAGCCCCACCGUGUACCUCCACCAGGCUUCCUCCACCGGUUGACUACGCCGACGUUAGAGAACCCAGCCACACGUUGCCUCAGGGAACCCGAAGAGUCAAACCAUCUACCACCGUUUUCCAAACCGCCGCUCCAUUUGUCUCACCGCCGCACCAGGGAGUAGAUCCAAACCAGAGGAGGGUUUCCACUAGUUUCACGCGCCGUCGUCACGGAGAAAACACCACAGAUCUGAAAAACGGAAAAUUAGAUCUGGGAGUUUCUUCAGCCCUAAACGCCGACCUCCCCUACAUCCGUCGCUCCACAGUCUCACCACGUUUCCAGAACCACCACUGAAACUCCUUCAACCACUAUGGGUUUCCGGUGAAGAAAAGGUGACCCAUAAUCGCCGGUAUAUCGAACUGAUAUUGAACAAGAUAAUAAGAGAGGCAAAUAAAAAAGGAGAUUUAAGGAAAGGAGGAAGACCUCCGGUACCGGACAGAGCCCGGACCGGAGAGGCGGUGAAAGCUUCUGUCGGCUGAGUUUGAGAGGGUUUGUCGAAGGAGGAGAGAGGUUUUUUUUGGGUAGUUUUUGGAGGAUUUUUAUAAAAAAUCGCUCCCAUUUAGAUCUGUCAAAUGGGUGUGUUGCCAAUGGACGGACCGAACCAAAUUAUGAUUGACCAGUUAUGAACCUAUAUUUAUUUAAAACCCAUGUAGAUAUGAGUAUAAAUGGAUAAUCCAAUAUUAUCCGCCAAAAUGUGUUUGGAUGGACAGGCCAAAAAUUUUAAAACUUAGGUGGAAUUGAUUUGAGGAAAUCAGAUAAUCUAGUUUAUUCCAAAUCUUUUUUUUUUCAAAAAUAUUCUAAAAUCCUAAUUUUUUGAAAGCUUAAAGCUGCAAAAUUGUUUUUUUCUUCCUUAAACCGUAAAAAUCACGUUUCUUGUCAAAACCGAAAUUUGUUAUUUUUGCCGAAUUCAUAAAAUAAUAUUUUCUGUUACAUCCCUAAAAUAAGAUUUUCUAUUACAUACUUAAAAUUAUAUUUUCUUUCUAAAACAGCAAAAUCAUGUUUUUCUCCAAAACCGUAAAAUCACAUUUUCCCAUGAAAUUUGAAAAUCACAUUUUCUGUCAAAUCUGUAAAAACACAAUUUUCAUUAAUACAGCAAAAUCAUGUUUCCUACCAAAACUACAAAAUAUUUUUUCCACAAAAACAAGAAAAUCAUGUUUUCACCAAGAGUGUAAAAUAACAUUUUCUCGUCGAAAUCACAAAAUAAUGCCAAAACUGCAAAAUAUGUUUCUGCAAAAUAUAUUUUUGCAAAAAUCAUACACAUAUUUUUCAGCUAAAUUCAUAAAAUGUUUGUUUUGUCAAAUAUGAAAAAAUCAUGUUUUGUGUUAAAAUAUAUAUUUUGACCGUGAAAUUAUAUAUUUUUUUAAAAUCACAAAUUUUUUACUAACAAUAUCAUUUUCAAUUUUUGAAAUGUUGACGUCACAUUUAGUUAUGAUCCUAUUUGGUUUGGAGAUGUAGUCAUUUUUGGAUUUAGACCAUCAAUAUCUAAAAUGACAUUAUCCAUUUAGAUAUGACAACCUAAUUGACAUCCCAAUUCACAUUGUAAGUAAGUGUUUCUUUACAAUAUUGGUAGUGUGGUUAGUAGGCCUGGGCGUUCGAGUCUUCGGGUCAGUUUCAGGCCAGGUUUUUUCGGGUCCGUGUCUUUCGGGUCUUAGACAUUGAACUCAAUAUAUAACUGUAAAUUUUUGGUUCAGUUUCGGAUCGGUUCGGGUUUAUAAUUAAAAUACGUAUAAAAUACAUGUAAUUUUUGGGUUCGUCUCGGGUUCAGACCGGGUUCGAAUAUUUAUGAUCUGAAAAGGAAAAGAAAUACUUAAAACCAUCAAAUUUAGUUGAAAUAGGUCAUAUGUAUCUAUAUUUUUUUGUAAAAUAACUUAAAAUAAACUAUUAAUAAUUAAAAUAAAGCAUUUUUAAACUCUAAGUUUUACAUUUAAAGAUUCAUAUUACUUGAAAAUGCUACAAAAAUAAUAACAAAGAUUGUUAACAAAAAUAUAUUUCAACUAAAUCAUAAAAUAAAAUAUAGAAAGUAGAACACAAAAAAUCAUAGUUUUGGAUAUUCAUAUUUUAAGUCGGGUAUUAAUUGGUUUUUAUCGGAUCGGAUUUAUUCAGAUCGGUUCUUUUCGGGUCUAUUUGGAUCCGGGUCUAUUCGGAUCGGUUUUUUCAGUUCUGUUUUUUUUUGAUAUAGAAUUUUGGAUCCAACAGGUACUUGUAAAUUUUUGGUCGGUAUUUUAGGGUCGGUCUCGGUUCGAGAGUUUUCGGGUAAAAUGCCCAUACCUAGUGGUUAGGUUUAUUAUUUGCGGUGGAGCUAAUUAUCGUGUCAAAGAGUUUCCUGCAGUUGCUCUACUUUUUCGUUGGUUUCUCUUAGUCCAUGACAAAUGCAGAUUCUGUCUGAGAUAACUGUCUGGUGUAUCGUUCCGCGCUCAUCUUGUCUUGAUUUCGUAACUAGUGGUUGAGAAGCUACCAUGCUGGUGCAAGAGACACUCACUUUCAUUGGAUACUUUUACCACCAGUGAAAGCUACUUGUGUAAAUAUUGGCCAACUGACAAGUUCUCCGAAGUUCAUGCCGAAACUAGGGCAGGGUUCUUUUGGGCAAAAAGAUUCGUUUAAUACAAUGCAAGAAAGACUCUGUGAAGUAAAAACAAGCAAGAAGACAAGUUUUCUAGUAAAUGAUCUGGAGUACAUUUGAUCUGGAGCUGGGCAUACCUCUACUAGUCCCAUACCCAAAUGCGAACACACAUUGAGACUCAAAACUGAACAAGAACCGAAACACUAUAUAUAUAUACUUGGAUUGGAUUGUUCAAUUUCCAAACUUGGUUUAUUGCUUAUAUAACAAGUCUAUGCGAAAUUAUUUUGAUAAACGCAAAGCACAAAACAGAAGAAUAUUCACAUAAUCAGAGGAACAAGUAGUACAGAACAAGAAGUAAAGAUGAGAGUAUCUCAUUCAUGAAAACACAAGAGAUUUAGAGAUGAGCUUUUAUUUCUUUCCCAGACGCUGCUGCAACCUUUUCACCGAGGCUGAUAGAUGUGAUGGUUCCGGCGACAGUAGAAGUUUGGGUUCAUCUUCUUCUGGUUAUACUUGGCAGAACAAGACACAUUAGAUCUGUAAAGCUUCCCUUUCGUAGACUUCGCCAUGCUCAGAAGCACCUUCAAGUACCUCCCAACAUCUGAUUCUGCCAGACAAGUAUUUGUAAGAAACUAAACGUGUUAUAGAAUCUUUCAAACAUCGCAAGUGCUUUUUUUUUCGUUACCUCUCACCGAAGAUCCAUCCAUCUCAUUCUCACCGGAUGACGUCAUGACUAGCUCCUCGAACUCGUCCUCCAUAUCUGAGAACUCGCCGAACUCAUACUCCUCCGAGUUGGCACUGAGCCAGAAGUCACGGAACCACUUGGAUGUUGUCACCAGCUCCCACCACUUGGGAGAGAAAUCCUCUACCUCACGGAAUCCCACCGGAUCGAACGCCGGCGCGUUUGGAUUCAGCGUCGAUACACUCCGAUCUACCACCGUCGACAUUUUUACAACUCCGAUCACAGAGCUACAAAAGUUCACAGAUUACAACACCACUCGACUGAAAGUCAUGAGAUACAAAUCAGAGAUUACAUACCCCUCACUGAGUCUUCAGAGCGAGUCACGCUUUCCUUUCCGAGUCACUAGAAAACACUGUCUUUUCAUUAGGAGAAGCUUUGGCACCCUUUUAAAAGAAACUAGUAGACGGUAAACCGGUAUGAGCAACCGGCAUGUGUAAAGGAGAGGAUGGCGAUCGGACGGUCGUGGAUGAGAAAAGGGUGAUCUGACGGUGUCCAUACGAAUAAUAAUUGGAACUUAGCUCGUUGGUUACUGGAUAAGAUACGUCCUUUUCUUAUUUUGUUUUAGAUAAACCAAAGAUAUUUUACUUUUUUGCUGCUAGGAAUGAAAUUUCUAGAACAUGGGCCAAAGCCCAAUAAAAGCCCAAUAGGAAAAUAUUAUAAAAUUAUCCCUUGUUCCGUUAUCAUUUCUUUUCAUUUUCGCCUGUAACUAGCACCAUCUCCAAUGAAUGUUACUUUCACAAAUCAUUUCAUUUUCACUUGUAACUAGCACCAUCUCCAAUCAAAUACCAAAACAUUAUAUUUCUAAUAAAACAACAAAUAUAACACUAUUCACAGAAUAUAAUGUAGUGUAGAAAACAUAAUAGUUGGUAUCAAUCAUACCAAAUUUUAAAAUAAUAUUUAUUUUCAAUUUUUUUGUAGUUAUAAAUACUUUAUUUUAUUAAUUAAUUUAACAUAUAGUUGUGAAUACAUCAUAAUAUUUUGUAUUUUUAUUUGUAUUUUCACAUUACUAAAAAGUAAACUAUUACUGUAUUUAUAUUUUUAAUUAGUAAUAUAAUCAAAUGAAUGUUAUCGAUUAUAUUAAAUUGUAUCAAAAUAAUAAUGCUUUUCAUCUAAAUGUAUAAUAUUUUAAUUAUGAUUGAUAUUUUAAAUAAAAUAAAUAAAUAAGUAUACAAAUUAACUAAAAUAAUUAACAGAAAAAUAAAUUUACUAAAUUUUAAUAAAUAAAUACAAAAAACAAAAGUGAUAAAUAUAGUUAGUCAAUUAUAAAUAAUUAAUGUAUUAAAUUACUAAAAAUAAAAAGCUAGUAAUAUAAAAUAUUGUUUUGGUGUAGUAUUUGAUGUGAUGAUUGGAUAUGAAUAACAAAGUUUAACAACAAAACACUAAAUUUAAUAUUAUGGUUUGAGAUACCCUAAAUAUUUACAGAAAAUAUCCUUUUCUUUAUUUUUAGAAUUAUAAAAAUAUAUUGGUUUAAAAUUCAAGGUUGUUAUCUCAUCAUAAGCGAAACAAACGAAGGAAAAUUUACAUGCUCUAGAGCCAUUAUACCAUGUAUUUGGGUAAUAUGAUACCCUAAUAAUACUUUUCAUGUAAAAGGAGAAAAGGCCGAGAUAUAAAAUGGGAAAUUAGAUUGAAUAACACAAAAGAAAUUAGAGAAAUUGAGCUGUAUAACCACCAAAAAAAUUAUAAUUUAAUCUAUAGCUAAAAAUCUUAUUUUUUCACUGUAUCAUGUGUCUUUUAUGUAAUAUUGUCAUAUUAUCCUCUAUUGUAACCGGGUAGAAAAAAAAAAUUAAUAAUCAUUAUAUUUUAAAAAUAUUUCGUGUCCACUGGAAAGUCACACAUCCACACAUUGUUUCUUCUCUGUUUCUUCAUCUUCCUCUCUGUCUCUGUCUCUCUCUCUCAAAUUUCUGGUUCUUUUUGAUACGACGAACACAUAAAUCUCCAUCACAUAUUGUUUCAAUCAUCUCUACAUGUAUAACCAGCACAUCCAUCAUCAUCAUUUGUUUCAUCGUCGCCAUCGUAUUCGCUCCGUAAUCUUCUCCGUAAUUUUUACUUUUCUUCUUUCUCGAGUAGUUGAAUCGUUUGAUUCUCAUAUUUGGGAGAGCGCAAUGAGACGGAUACGAUUAUCAGAGUUGAUUUUUGCAGCAGUAUAGCGUCUUCGCAUUCUCAAUGGGUGACUGAAGGGAAGGUUUCUCUGAUUGUGAAAUCGAUGGUGUCUUGUCUGGCGGAAGAGGAGAGGCGGAAACGUGAAGUAAGAUCGGCCAAUUCUUUUUCCUAGAUGCGUCUUGUUGUUUUCUACCUCUUUGUUACUAUACUAUUUUAUCAUGUUUCAUUCCAUUUGACGCUUAAUAAAGAGUGUUCUAUUUUGUUUAGAGAUAUAGUUUGUAAUUUUCUUAAUAUCUAACUAUCGUUACUUGUUUUUGAAUCCGUAAAAUUCGUACUAUGAUCUAUAUUGUAUAGUUUAAUAUUAUAUAAUAUAAUUUAAUAUUACAUAAUAUUGUGUACAUUUUUAUAUUUUGAUAUUUGGGUUUAGGAUUUAGUGAUUACGGUUUAGGGUUUAGUUUUAGAAGGUGAGAGGAUAUGGUUGGAGUCAUCAUUAACUUCUUUCAUACAAUUAUAGACAUUUCAGGAUGUCACCAGUAUGUACUAUGCUAUUUAUUUUGUUCUAUUCUAUUUAGGUUUAUGAUUUAUAUUUGGGUUUAUGGUUUGUAUUUGGGUUUAGGGUUUACUGAUUAGGUUUUAGGAUUUAGUAUUUAGAGGUUGGAUGGGGUUGGGAUAAAGUUUAAUAUCUAGAUUAUAGGGGUAGAGAUAGAGUUGAUUUCCUAUACUAUUUAAAAAUUAUAAAUAUGUAGUAGUUUACAUUUAUGUUUGGGUUUAUUGAUAAUGGUUUAGGGUUUAGUAUUUAAAAGUUGGGACUGGGUUUAGUAUUUAAGAGUUGUGUGUGGGGUUAGAAUUUAAUAUUACAUAAUAUUAUGUACUUUUUAGAUUUUGAUAUAAGGGUUUAGAGUUUUAUAUUUGGGUUAGGGUUUCGUGGUUUGGGUUUAGGGUUUAGUAUUUAGAAAGUGAGGGAGUAUGGUUGGGCUCAGUAUUAACUUCUUCCAUGCAAUCAUAGAGAUUUCAUAAUUUUAUCAAUAUGUACUAUGUUAUUUCUUUUGUUUCAUUCUAUUUGGGUUUAGAGUUUUAUAUUUGGGUUUAGGGUUUACUGAUUUGGGUUUAGGGUUUAGUAUUUAUGAGUUGGGAUGAGAUUGAGAUACGGUUUAGUAUCUAAAGAUUGGGGUUGAGUUAAAUUUAGUAUUUAGAGGUUGUAGAACUACAUUAAGAAUAUGGUAUAGAACACUCGGUGCAUAUGCAUGUGAUCAAUAAAUGUCUACGUGGAUGACUUUUUUUUCUUUUUUUUGGAAUAGUUUUCAAGUGUUCUUGACCUGAUAUUAUAUUGGUCACGUUAUUUUCCCCACACACUUACCUGAUACCUGUAAAGAGAAGAGACAAAACCGGGUAUUUUGUGGCAUAAAUGUUAGAAACUACAUUAUGUCAAAAUCAAUGACAUUUACCUAAUUUGUAUUGAAAAUAUAGUUAGUUCGCAAAUAAGUCCAAGAAAUUAUAUUUAACUAUCUAACAAAAAAUAAAAUACAACCAUUAUUAUUACAUUAUAUACUAUGAUACUCCUACUAUCCGGUUUAUAAGCGAUAAACACAUUCUUCUUCUGUUACCAACUAGCACCAUGCUAUAUUCCAUAACUACCACCAGUAUCAGCUAUGUCAACCACAUCUCUUCAGCUGCCACCUUUUCUUUGUAAUCAUCGUCACUUUGAUAUGCUAAAAUUAAUCUAGAGUAACUCUCUCUCAAAUAAGAGAUCAGUUGCAAUGCAUAGGGAUUAUAUCCACGGAUACUUGCUAUUUUACAUAAUAGACUUGGAUUUCAGAUUUAGCUAGGUUAAAAUAUAUAAAACAAUAAAAAAAGCAGUGAAUAAAAGAGCAAUAGAUAAAUAGAUGAGUUAACAGAUGGGAUAAGGUGCUAGACUUAGGAUUUCAGUCAGGUUAUCAGAACUCAAAUCUAUAAAUGCUAAGGGGUUGAUCCUACAACUCGAAUGCAAUAGUAAGAUAUCCAAUUCUCGGUGUGAGUCUACAUGUUUAAAUUUGUAUUUAUACUAAUAGGUAUUCAAUAUGGAACGAGUAUCGAUCGGUGUACUUAUGGAGUUUCGAUCGAUACGCUUUUUAAACAUGCUUUAUCGUCGAGAUCGAUAAGUUCACUUGGUUAACUAAACCAGUGUGUCACUGGGCCUAACAACCUAGCUCAGCAGAAUUAUUAUCAGGUAAUGAACCUACUCUCGCAGUUGUCAAUAACCUAAGUUCAUGAUUCUAGAUAAUUACUCUAGAAUGCAAGCAGUAAGAUUCAAUAUGUCAAGGAUCCUAAUAAAUCACCCUAGCAAUUCUAUAUUUCAAGUUCAUUCAAAACCCUAGAAAAUCCUCAAAUCUAACAAUGGAUCUACUCAGACAUGAUUAGAGAAGACAUAAUCAAAGAAAGAAUAGAUAGAAUAUGUUAAAUCCAUAAAAAACCAAUGGAGUUCCAAGAGAACUUUGAAGGAGUUCCUUCCUUCUCUCCUAACCUAAGAGAAAACCUAAAGUAAAACAAUAGAAUAAAGCCUAGCCGUCAACAAUGGCUUAGAAAACUAUAAAAACUAGGUAUCAAGUCGGCCAUGGGUAAUUUGUAAUUUGUGGUGGCUUCUUGGUCCACGUCGUUCUUGAAAUAGGCUCGGCCCAUCUUCUCGCAUCAGUUUCUUUUUACACCAAGGUAUUAGUAUCGAUCGACACUCCUUCCUAUCUUCGAUAACUUCCUCUCACGAGUCAGACAUACCACUCUUCAGUAAAACGAGGAUAACUUUAGAUUUAGCCGUCAAACCGGUGGCAUUGGAAAACUAACUCAAAGCUAUAUCUUGUGUCAAAAUAUGAGAAAAUAAUAAUCAUCUGCAAAGAGGAGAUGGUUGACUGCAUGUGCAUUGUUGGAUAUCUUCAUUCCCGUAAGAGACCUGUUCGUCAUGACUUGUGUCAUCAAAUGUGAAAGCACUUCAGCACAUAAUAUGAACAGAUAGGGUGCUAAGGGAUCUCCUUUUCGAAGUCCACGAGCUGGAGUGAUAUAAUCCUCUGGUGUACCAUUCACCAACACUGAAUAUCGAACCGCAUAAACACAAGUCAUAAUCCAAUCAAUCCAGCGAUUAUCAAAUCCCAUAUGCUUCAUUGUCUCUGAUAAGAAUUGCUAUUCUAACCUAUCAUACGCCUUUGUGAUGUAUGUCUUUACAUCCAUAUACAAUGUAGCUUGUCUUUUUCUAACUUUCAGGCUGUGGAAAACUUCAUGAGCUACAACAAUAUUUUCUGAAAUCAUUCUUUCAGGGAUAAAGGCGUUUUGAUUCUCUGAGAUGAUAUUACCCAAAUGUUUCUUCAACCGGUUAACCAAUACUUUUGUAAUGAUCUUAUAAGACACAUUACAUAGUGCGAUGGGUCUAAAUUACUUCUUACCAUUGGGGGGAUAAACCUUCGGUAUAAGGCAUAGAUUGGUAUGACAGAGUUGCUGGUCUAGUUGUCCUGUUUCAAAGAAAACAGACAUCUCCUUCAUUACAUCAUCUUUUACAUUCUCUCAAUAGGUGUGAUAAAAGACUGCAGUAAUACUGGCUGGUCUUGGGGCUGGAUGUGCCCCUAUAUCCAUUACUGCCAUGCAGAAUUCUUCUUUUGUGACCAUUCUUGUUAGAUUAUGAUUCAUCUCUGGUGCAACCUGAAAUGGACUUUUCAAUGGUCCUAAUUCAAAUCAUGUAGUAUUUAAGAUGUCAAUCUAUUUCUAAGUAUUUUGAUGCAAAGAGAAUGCAGGUUCAAACUUAAUCUAAGUGCACUCAGUUCAAUGAAGUGGUUUGAUUAAACUAACAAGGUUCCAACACAACUAACUAUCAACUUUCAAUCAAAUGGAUAAAGGAGGAAUCAUGGGCAUAGGAUUUUGAUUUCAGAUGACUAAGAUUUAAUCUAAAAUGGCAAGGUUUUAAUCAACACAUUCCCUUAAGUCUAGAUAGCAAUUCUAAGCAAGUUCUUUUCCAAGACAAUAGCUCAUUUACUCUCAUUGAUCAAACAUCAAAUUCUUUUGGUUUGUGUCAAUCAAGCAAUCAUUAAGAAUGGAUCAUUCAACUUUCUAAACUCCCCUAACAUCAAAUCCCUUUGGUAGGGUAAGCUAAGAGCAUGUUGAGUUGGCUCAGACAUUUCAUCAAACACCUUCCGGGCAAUGAAAUAUCUAGAGUUCAAAUCUAAAAUGGCCAACUCUAGAUUAGCAUUAGGAUCACUCAAUCAAGCAAGGAAACAUAUUAAUCUACUCUAAACAUUCUAGAUCAUCACUUAAUCAUCCUAAUCUUCCUAACCCAUGAAUCCAAAGAUGACUACUCACUCAUUAUCAUGGUAGACUCUAAAUCAUUAGUUGAUCUAAGUCUAAACAUGAUUAAUGAUUAAAGCAAUCAAGUAAACACUAAAGAAUAUGAUCAAAAUUAGAUCUUUCACCCUAGAAAAGUCUUUGAUUUGAUAGAUAAUAAGAUAAGUCAUAAGAUUAGGUCUAAAAAGUAUUUAUAAAGGCUUAAAACUCGAACCGGGUCGACCCGACAAACCCGGGAUUGGCCCAAAAGACAAAUGGGCGAAAUGGUCUUUGCAUCGACCGCGAACGGCUCCAACCCGCGGCCGUGGUCCGCGGUCUGUCCCGUCAAAACUCGACCUCUCUGGCUUGUUUCCGCGGACCAUGCUCGUCCGCAGUCGACGUCUGCGCUCCAUCUUCGUCCAAUCCCGCGGACGGCCUCAACCCGCGUCCAUGACCCGCAGUUCGUCCACACCAAAUCGACUCCUCGGCCACGAUUCCGCAGACUGUACUCACCCGCAGCCAUGACCCGCGGUUCGUCCAGCUUCAAUUGUCUUCACUGCCCAUAAUCCGCGGACAGGGUUGGUCCGCGGAAUGCGUCCGCGGUAGAAGCAUGUUUUGCACCUUCUUCAUGAUUUCCCAUCAAACUCUCCAUACUUCAACUUGAGCUUUUUCAAACCUAAAAUACCACACAUGCAUAUGCUAUGUACCUAAUUAAACUCUAAAUGCAUCCUAAAUGAUCUAAAUGAGUAUGGAAAUGAUGCUUAAAACCAUGCAAAAUCUCAAGACAUCAUAACCCUCUACUGGAAAUUCUGAAAUACUUUCACAUACAUUGUUGGAUCAGUUCCAUUUGAAGCAAAUAGAUCUUGAAAAUAGUUAACAGCCACUUUCGAUAGCUCUUUACGUCCUCUGUGGAUAACACCUUGUUCAUCCUGAAUAGAGUUAAUAGUGUUUUUGAUUCUCUUUUCCUUUGUUACAGCAUGAAAAUAUUGUGUAUUACGGUCUCCGGAUCUCAACCAAUUUACUCUGUUUUCUGUAUAUCUCUUCAUCUAUUUAUAAGUUUGAUUUAAUUCAUCCUUAAGCUCUGUCUUUCGUUUCUGAGAUAUAACAGCAGAAGUAAACGUUUUAUCCAGCACCGUUCUCAAAGUGUCAAUUCUUUCUUCAGCAUUAUUUCGAUUAUAUCUUUUUCCAUCUAGAUAUGUGAUGUUUGCAUCUAUGGAGCCUUUGGACUAGUGGUAGCUGCAUAGUUUAACUCUGUCAUGUUCCUCUCCAUCCUAUAUGAACUGACUCAGUAAAACCUUAUUUAUUUAUCAUACAGCUUUCAAUCGAAAGCUCUUGGGAGGUUCAUCUCUGUCUGAAGCAAUAAAGGUCACUAAUGGCCGAUGAUCAUACUCACCUAUCUCAAGGAAAUCAGUCUGGGAAGCAGAAAAUAACUCAACCAUCUGUUAUUAGCCAUAGUACGAUCCAGAGCCCACUGAACUAAAUGUGUGCCUCUUUGUCCCACCCAGGAUAGACGAUUACCCACUGAAUGAAGACCAGUAAAUUCACAUAUUCUCAUCAACUGUCUGAACUCCUCAAAAAAAGCCUCUCAUCGUAAACACACACCAUCUUUAUCAUGGUUGCCAAGGAUUUCAUUAAAGUUUCCCAAAAUAAACCAAGGCUGUUGUCUUCUGGUUAAACUCAGGUGUACUAAUUUUUUCCAUGUAUGAUGUCUUAAAGACGGAUUAGGGUGUCCAUAAACAAAGGAAAAGUUGAAAGGCAAUCCAUUAAAACCAACAUUACAAUCGAUGGGAUGAGCUGAUUGACUAAACACACUUAAUUGUACAUACUGCUUAAAUAAGACAACUAAUCCACCUCCUACACCUAUAGGUGGUACAAUUACUGAACUGACAAAUCUUAACUGAGCUCCUACAUCACACACAUAAUCAUCUUAUUGCUUUGUUUCUGAUAAACAGAGAAUGUCCAGGAGAUAUUUGCGAUUUAUCUCCUUUAAGCGUCGAACCAUCGAGUAUAUGCCUGACAGUUCCAGUAGGCUGUCCUCAUGGUGGAAGAGGUGAUACUGGAUCCACCGCGCCUCUCACCGUGUCAGACUCAGACGUGUUUCUUCCAUCUCAAUUACUCUCUUUGCUAUGCUCUGUCAUAUUCUUCUUGCACUUUGCACUGAUAACCCCACUUGUUUCACCCUUCUCAGCAUGAGCGAACUUCAUUGUGUUCCCAUUAGCAUUUGUCAUCCAAGCUUUCCACUUUAACCCUGCUUCGUCUUCAUUAGGCUUGGGGAAAUGAUGUCCAAACAGAUAGAGAGGGUUGUACAUUUCGUCACGAUACACAUCAGAAGAAACUGUUUUCCUUCUCCACUCCAGAUAUACUCAUCAUCUGCUUCCUCCUCCAUCUCCCUGAUGUUCCUUUCAUACUCUUUCUGCUCUGGAUCCUCAGGUUCAAUGUCUGCCUCCAUAUUUUGUCCCUUAGCCACAUUAUUGUCAGCAGCUACAUCUUCAUUAGCGUCUUCAUUAAUCUCCUCAAUGAUAACACCAUGAUUUGGGAUGAUCUCCAUGUUAGCAUCAUCUUCCCUGCUGUCAUUGUCUUCUUCAUCAUUUCCUACUCCACCCUUUUGUAUUAAGCAGGCUCCAGAGUCAUCUGUUAUCAUACCGCACGUCUCACAUAAUCCGCGAAGACGCUCGUACUGGAGUCUCAGAAAGGUGUUAACACGUGGAGAAAAUUGGAAAUUCUUUUGAAACCUAAGAGGGUGAUUGACAUUCCAGUUCAACUGCAUCCUGACAAACUCCAAACGGCUACCAACCUCUUCAUUGUAAUCCAUUUGAAUGUACUUUCCUAGAGCGCGAACAAUGUGAACAAUAACAUGUCUGUUCAUGAAUUGGAGUGGGUUUCCUCUUAUUUGGAUACAGAAUGGAAUGAAAUUUAUAAUUUCCAUAUCCAUUAACGAAGUCCAUCUCUGGAGCACAAGCAUACGAUCCGCAAAUGCCCAAGGCCCCUUCUGAUACCGUGUCCAUAGCUUCCUCAGACGGGAACAUGAACUGAAAUCAUCUGCCUUCAAUAACUCUACCUCGAACCAAACUUUGAAACCCCCAAUUCCUUGGCAUCGAUGUAACGAUUGCUCGUAGGUUUUGUUUGUGUGGCAUCACUAGGCGCCCAAUCAGAAUAAAUCUGCUCUCUUCUUCCGCUUGACGGACCACUGCCGGUGGUAACACAAAGGGAACAUCGUCAGCACACAGAUUUAUGUCUUGUAAUGCUCUCCGAAUAUUAUCAUCCAUCGAGUCCAUAAAAAUGAUAGAUCUCCAGAGACAGUAUAAGGGAUUUGAUAAAAGAGUUGAAAGGUAUCGAUAAAAAUCCAACUUUUCUUUCCUCGGUAUAUAUACACUCAACCAACCGAACAGCCUCGAGACCACUUCAUCACGAUUUCUCUUGUAAACAAUGUGGGGAUAUACAGCAUUGUGGCCGGUUUAUGUGUAAAAAAAUCACCCUUUUUUUAUCGAAAUCAUCAUGAACCACCCAGAUAGUGGUGAGAAAUUGAAGAAAUUGGAACCGUUUUAUUAUCGCCUUUUGUCGCUAUCCCUGAAUUUGAUUUUUAUUUUCUUCCUUCUUUAAUUACCGAAGUACUACUGAAACGAUAUAUGAAAUUCUUUUUAGUUAUUAUUUAAAAAAAUUUGUCAUUACACCCAAAAAAGAAAAAAAUUGUCAUUGAUCUCAAAUAGGUAUAGAUUUCAAUAUAUCUUAAUAAAAUCUAGGGUAGCGGCUCAAAUAAUUCUAAGAAAAAUUACAAAGUUACUCCAAAAAGGGAAAUAUUUAUAAAGGAAAAAAAAAAGUGAAAAGGAAUUUUCCUAUUUCGCUGACCAAAUCAGAUAAAGAAAAAAGAAACAAAACCUAAAGAGAUCCUCUGUCUCUAUAUAAACAGAACUAAAACGUAAGAGAAAUCUAUUCAACUCGUUCACGCUUUCUCUCUGUCUAGUUCUCCAAGAAAAAGAGUUUACGUUCUCUCUAAGGGAAAAACCAUCAAACAAUGAGAGACGACCAGCAGAAACUGAUCUCAUCAUUCAUGGAGAUUGCUAUUGGUCAAACCAAAGACACCACAAUACAAUUCCUAAAGGCAACGAGCUGGAACCUGGAAGAAGCUAUUAACCUCUUUAUCAUUCACAGAGAGAAUCAACCUCUAUGUCAACAAAACGCAACAGAGCUGCAUAGGAGUGAUUAUCAAGAAGAAGAACAUAUCCGUCCUCCUUUACCUUCGAUUAGGGAUACUCUCUAUGACUCAUCUUACAUGUAUCAAACUCCGGUUCAAGUAUGUCCUGAAGAGAUCUGGGACGCGGAAUCAGAACCGUCAGAAGAUUCGGACACUGAUGUUGGACCAGAUUCCAAACCAGAACCCUCAGAAGAGUCGAGGAGGUUGUCUUCUUUGUUCCGUGCUCCUCUGAAACUUCUUUUCCAAGGUACGUUUGAAGAGGCGAAAUCAACAUCUUCCAGACAGAACCUAUGGCUGCUAGUCAAUCUCCAGUCCACGACCGAGUUUGCUUCUCACAUGCUAAACCGAGAUUUAUGGGCUAACGAAAUUGUUUCUCAAGCCAUUGAGUCUAGCUUUAUCUUAUCGCAAGUCUAUGAUGAUACCACGGAAGGAAAGAAAGUCUCUACUUUCUACCGCAUCGAAUCUGCUCCUCCUGUGGUGCUUCUCAUCGAUCCCAUCACUGGUCAGAAUAUGCGUUCUUGGAGUGGCGCAAUUGAAGCUCAUGGUUUUGUGGAGGAUUUGAUGAAGUACAUGGAUGAUGGUCCGCAUCAAUACAUGGCUUCUUCAACAAGAAACAAACGUAUGAAGACCGAUAAGAUUUCCUCUGAAAGCAGCCAGACUGGGAUGCCCGAACUUGCAAGAAACCAGACUAUUAGUCACAUUGUGGUACCGUCUUGGGGGCUCGAGUUUGAAAAAUCAGCAGAAGUGAAGCAGGAGGAGGAGACUUGUUUAAGGUAUCCAGAUUUAACAGAAGAGCCAAAUGGAGACUGUGAUCGAAGCCUUGUGUGCAGUCUAUGUGUUCGGUUUCCAGAUGGGAGAAGAAAGCAGAGGAAGUUUCUCAAGACCGAACCUAUUCAGCUUCUCUGGUCUUUCUGUUAUUCUCAGAUGGUGGAGUCUGAAAAAAAGGCGUUUAAGCUAGUACAAGCCAUCCCUGGUGCUUCCAAGACUCUGGAGUAUGGACCUAACGCAACUUUCGACCAAUCUGGCCUCGCAAACUCGAUGAUCUCGAUUACCUGGGAGUGAAGAUUCAUUUACUAUUAUUAAAUUAUUUUCAUAUGUAAAUUUUAAUUGAUUUAUAGAAAGAAUGAGACAAUGACAAGGUGAAAGAAGAUUAAUGCCAUACAUGAUAACAUCUGCAAACCAGACUCUCCAAGUCAAAAGUUAUAACGUUUUACUAAUUUAAGCGACCUUGUUUGACGGCUAUUACAUAUUUUCUUCACGUUUAUCUAAUCAUCAACAUGAUUAGUUGAUUUUAGUUCACAGCUUAAUCCAAAUUGUCUCUUUUUUUUUCUAUAUCAACAUUGCGUCAUUUGUGACCUCUGCUCCUCAGCUAAAUAUGUUCUAUAAAUCAGACAACACUCUGAUCAACGGAAAUAAAAAUGAAUGAAGUUGUCAAAUGGUCCGUACAGCGCGCAAUUGGGUUUGCCAUACAUAUCAUUGAUCUAACAGGACCCGUACAGCGCUCAAUUCAAUUUAAUUUUAAAUUCCUUUAAUUAUACCGUAAUUUUUAAUUCCCAUUGAAACAGUAAACGUAGCGUUUUCUUUACCCAAAAUCAUAAAAAACAUGUUUUUUCGACAAAAAAUGCUUUUUCGGCCGAACACUAAAAUCACGUUUUCUGGCAAAAAUUUAAAAUCACUAUUGUGGUGUGUGACGAUAACUACAAUAGCUAAUUGCCUAAUCAUGUUGGAGAGAAUAUACAAACAUCUUCAGAGAUAUAUAUGAGAAAAAACAAGAACUGAAGUUUGUUUAUAAUCUGAUUGGUUUAGUUGCUUUAUAAUCCAAUUAAAAGAACAAAAACUGUAACCCAACGAGAAUCCGAUUUUACUGUAAUCAAACCAAACAAAUCCUCGAUAUAUAUAUAUAUAUUCCAUAAUUAUCUUCUUCUUUUUUUAACGCUAUUCCAUAAUUAUCUAGGAUCUACAAAAAUCUUAUAUUCCCUUUUCUCUUUCUGUUAAGAGUUUAACCUAAUUCUUUGUAAUAUAAAUAUUUGGCUUCGUUAUCAAUAAAGGUUAGAGGUGUUCCAAUCUCAAGUUUAACAAAACUUAUCAGAGCAGUAUUGGCGUAAUUAUUAUCACAAACAGUUGCUGAUGAUGGAUGCUCCACAUGAUUCUCAUGAAGAAGGAAAAGAAGAACAAGUUCCUCUUCCUUCACCUUCGAUUGGGAAUACUCUCUGUGAUACUCCGGCUCCUGAACAGAUCUCUGACUCCGAAUCAGAAUCGUUAGAUUCACUGACAUUCGAUGAGACUCAAACAGCCAGUGAUUACCAACAGAAACUGAUCGCGUCAUUCACCGACAUAGCUGUUGGCCAAACCAUGGAAACAGCCAUACAGUUCUUAGAGACGGCAAACUGGAACCUCGAAGGAGCCAUUAAUCACUUUUUCGUUGAAUCAAACACGACGAGGUUACCUCCUCUGAGAUUUCUUUUCGAAGGUUCGUUCGAUGAGGCAAAAUCAACAUCUUCCCAAAGGAAUCUGUGGUUGCUAGUGAAUCUCCAAUCCACGAAAGACUAUUCUUCUCAUUCGCUUGACAUAGAUUUAUGGUCAAACAAAGUCGUUUCUCAAGCUAUCGAGUCAAGCAUCAUCUUAUGGCAAGUCUAUGAUGAUACCACCGAAGGACAGAAAAUCUCUACUUUCUACAAGGUUGACUCUGCUCUUCCCGUGGUGCUCCUCAUUGAUCCCAUCACUGGUUUUAAGAUUAGGUCGUGGAGCGGGGUGAUUGAAGCUCAGAGUUUUAUCGACGAUCUGAUGAACUAUACUAAGUCCGGUCCUCACGAACACAUUGCUUCUCUGAGAAGAAAAGAACCCAUCAAACCAGACAUUCUAUGUAAUGAAACCAACCAGACUAGUCAUCGCAUCGUCACUCCUUCUUCGGGGGUGGAGACUUGUUCUUCAAGCAACCACAUUGAUCAUGUUGUGGCGAAGACUUUACCCACACAUGAGGAGGAGGAGACUUGUUUUGAGUUUCCAGCCUUGACAGAAGUGCCAAGAGGAGACUGUGAUCGAAGCCUUGUGUGCAGUGUCUGUGUUCGGUUUCCAGAUGGGACAAGAAAGCAGAGGAGGUUUCUCAAGAGCGAACCGAUUCAGCUUCUCUGGUCUUUCUGUCAUUCUCAGAUUGUGGAGUCCGAGAAGAAGGCGUUUAAGCUGGUACAAGCGAUCCCUGGUGCUUCAAAGACUCUUGAUUAUGGAGCUAACGCCACGUUCGAACAAUCUGGGCUCGCUAAUUCGAUGGUGUUGGUUGCUUGGGAGUGAAGAUUUGGAGUUUAGACCCCAAGUAGUAGUUUUUUUCUCUCUUAUAUCUUGAUUUUAAUAGUGUUUGUUCCUUUCAACUUCCAGUUUGUCUCUUUUGCUAUUGAUUUUUUCAUGGUCAGUGAGACCUCUUCAUCUAAACGUUUUUAGAAACCCGACAACGCUAUGAUCCAACUGGGAGAAAGUGGUCUUGAAUAAUGUUCAAAACUAAGCAAGGAUCGACCACUUUGGUGUUUAAAUAAUUUAGCUAAUCUUGUUAGAAAACUUGCAAAUGUUCGCAUAUCGAAAUUAAAAGGAGAGAUGAGAAGAAGCCCUUGUGGAAUAGUUACGUGCUCUUUUUGGAAAUUCCUCAUGGAACUGUAGCAUUAAUGGGCGUUGCAACUUGCAACAUCAUCAGAAUCUGUCAAGUUCACGCAAGAGGUAGAUAGUUCAACACCAUGUUCAAACAUUAAAAAUAAUAAGUCUUUAGUUUUUCAUACAAAACGCAUUUAUGUUAAUAAAUGUUUUUUGGUCAAAUUUGUAUGUUAAUUUUAGUUUCACAAAUAAAACGUUUGUGUUCAUUGUUGAUAACCGAGUCGUCUUUUGCCUAAUGGUAAAGGGGCUCCAGCUGGUAUUUCCACCCUGAGUUCGAUUAGUAUUGGCCAUCCAUAGACGUCUUAAGUAAAAAAAAAAUCUAGGUUUUUUAUAGAUCUCGUGGGAUUAGUCUUUGAAUCAAAAAAUCCUUUAGGAUUCCAAUGGUUAUGAAAAAAAGUGUUCAUUGUUGAUGUUAUUUAUCCAAUAUUGGUGAUUCUUAUUUGGAAAACACUUUACAAAAAAAAUCAGUUUGGAGACUUUUUGGUAACUACAACUGGUGGUUCAAUUGUUUUUUUUUUAAAUCAGUUUAGAUAUUAUUUAUCUAAUAUUGGUGAUUCUUAUUUGGAAAACAUCAUACAAAAAAUCAAUUUAGAGACUUUUUGUAACUAUAAUUGGUGGUUGCAAAAUUAUGUGACUCGUUUCUAAAGAUUUUGCAAAUGUGUUGCAACUACAAUAAAUAUGGCAUAUAAUAGCCGCAAAUGUGGGACUAAAAUCGGUUACUCUAAUUCAAUCGCUUAUUAAGAGACAUUUGAGACAUGUUUGCAAAUUAGAUAAUGUAAUCACAAAUAGCAGCAAUAUUACAACUAAUUUACAAAUACAUAUGUAAUUCUACACAUAAUUAUAAGUUAGUUUCAAAUCAUUUAAAUGUCGCAGUUACAAAUUUGUAGCAACAUUUUUGUGAAUAUUCAGUGUAAAACUAGUUUCACACUAUAUUAGUAGUGGUACAUAUUUUAAGAAAUUAUUCUGAAUGGAGUUACAAAUCAGUCUCAAAUAUCUCUAUAUAUUAAACCAAUUGUUUCCCUUCCUCUAAUUGUACAUCUUAAAUAAACAUAGAUAUAAAUGAUUUCAACAAACAAAAGAAAUGAGAGAGAAUUAAUUAUAAAUAUUGGAAAUCUCGUGAGUGGAUGUAAGAUCUAUUAACAAAUGAAUAAUAUCUCAGCCGAGUUUUUUAACAAGGUGAAAGAAAUUCAUGAGUUUUGUAAGUAGGCAUCUUUUUUUUUUUUGCGCAAACCAUAGUUGAUUAAAACUUAAAGAAACAAACAGAGUACUUCACUCAUCCAACAUAGGAGAGCUAGAAAGGGAAUGUAAUGCUGCUUUUGCAGGAGAGUCAGCCAAAGUAUUUCCCACACGCGGGAUGAAUUUAAAGGAAAUAUUACUAAAAGAGUUGGAUAGAGAAUGGAUAUCAAAGAGAAUUCCUUGAAUCCAAACAUUGUUCUUCUUGGUGUUGAUGAGGUUAAUGAGGCCUUUAGAGUCAGAGAAGACUUCAAGGGAAUCAAUACCACAGCUUGCUGCCGAAGAGACUGCAGCCUUUAACGCCAAGGCCUCUGCUACAAGGGCAGAGGAGACUGAGCGGCGUGUUGAAGAAUAUGUGCCUGCUGGUGUAGCCAAAGUGUCUUUGAAGUGCCAUCCCAUUCCACAGUUGCCAGAGGUUGAGUUUCAUGCAGCAUCCGUGUGAACACUCCAUGCGUUGUUACCUGUGAUUGGAGAAGGUAAAACCAGAUGCAAGUUAGCUAAACUUUGGUGAGGCUCCACAAUAAGUGGCACUUGUUGUUUUUUUGUUGGAAUCAAUUGCUCCUUUCCAAGCUCUUGAGUCCUGCAAGAUUUUCAAAACAGUUUCUUCCACAGAGUACUCUUUAUUCUCAAAGAGUAGCUUAUUCCUAUUUGUCCAUAAGGUCCACAAGACCCAAGGAAAAAUAUGAACAUCUCCUAAGCCUAUAGGAGGGAGAGAGACUAUCCGAGAACAGUUAUUAAGUAGCUCUGAAAUGGAGUUUGGUGCUUGUAUUAGUGCAGACGGUAGUUGGAGACACGGUAAGAGAUUCCAGACACGAGUUGCAUAUGGACAUUGGAGAAGGACAUGAAUCUCUGUUUCCCGAGCACCACAUCUCUUGCAGCUUGUGUCUACAUCGAUACCUCUGGUUUGUAACGCAGGUCCGACUGGGAUUGCACCUAUAUUUGCUUUCCAAAGGAAGUGACGUAGCUUUGGGGACGUGUUAAUAGACCAGAUCCUCUUCUUCCAGUCGAACUGAUCGUUAGGGUCAGGGUCCGAGUUGAUCUUUGUUAGCGCAUAACCAGACUUCGUGGUGUAGGCUCCACUUUUAUCAUUCAACCAAACCAGUUCAUCUUCCAUAUUGCAUUCGCUGGGAAUGAUGGCUUUAAUGGUAUCCUCAUACUGAGGCAGGUGUUCCCUAAUGGCCUGGAGAUUCCAGUUUGUAGUAGCCGGUAGGAACAGGUCCGCUACACAAAGGUGAGAGUUGUUUCGAGUUGGCGGUCCAAUGGGCGUUGUUGGCUUGUCAAGUUGGAGCCAUGGUUCAGACCAGAUACCAAUGCUACGCCCAUUCCCUACUAGCCAUCCAAGUCCCUGUCGAAGGACCUCUCUACCCGCCAGUAUACCCCUCCAUCCAUGAGAAGCCGAAGUGGGGGCAGAGGCGUGAAGGAAGCUAGUUCCUGUGCAGUAUUUUCCCAAUAGUGUUUGAGCUAGAAGAGAAUGAGGUUCCUUUAGGAUUCUCCAGGAUAUCUUAGCAAGGAGAGCGUCAUUGAAUUGUUCUAUUUCUCUAAAUCCUAGACCUCCUGCACUUUUUGGUCUUGUAAGUCUCUUCCACGAUAUCCAACAAAGCUUGCGGAUCUCUGGUUUGGCGUCCCACCAAAAGUGAGUUAGUAUGCUCUGAAUUUGUUUGCAUAGGGACAGGGGUAGCUUCAAACAAGCCAUCGUAUAGGUUGGUAAGGCCGCAAGGACUGCUUGGAGAAGAACUUGUUUCCCAGCUCCGGAUAAAAAUCUUGUGGUCCAACUCGUAGACUUCUACCUGAUCCUAUCAAUUAGGCUAGCAAACACAUCUCGUUUCUUUCUUCCAAAAUGCUCUGGCAAGCCUAAGUACUUCCCCAUGCCACCUUCGUUUUGAAUAUUGAAGAAUUUCCUUACUCGUGUCUUCACUUCGCCGGGGGUUUUUGCUGAGAAAGUUAUUGCCGAUUUGUCUAGAUUAAUGCAUUGACCGGAGGCAUUCUCAUACAGGAGCUGAACACGCUUUAGUGCUUCACAGCUGGCCACAUUAGUCUUUGUGAAGAACAUUGUGUCAUCGGCAAAUAGCAAGUGAUUGAUAGGCGGGCAUCCCCUUGCAACUUUGAUAUCGGAUAGACUCCCAUCACGCAUCGACUUGGCGCACAGGCUCGAGAGUACUUUGGUACAAAGUAUAAAUAGAUAGGGAGACAAAGGAUCUCCUUGUCUAAUGCCUCUCGAUGGAAUAACUUUUCCUUGAGCCGCCCCAUUCACCAAAUAAGAGUAUGACACCGUUCGGAUGCACUCCAUGAUCCAUACAACCCAUGUGUCAUGAAAGCCAAGCUUUGUCAACACUGCCUCGACGAAGUUCCAUUCUAUCUCAUCAUAGGCCUUGAUCAUGUCGAUUUUAACAGCCAUUGAGCAUCGUACCCUUGCUCCGGAAGUUUGGAGGUAGUGUAGAACUUCGUGGGUGAUGAGAACGUUAUCCGAGAUUGCUCUUCCUUUGACAAAGGCUGAUUGGUUCAUGGAGAUAAUGGACUUGAGAAUGGUUUGGAGCCGACUGGUCAGAACUUUAGCAAUAAUUUUGUAGUGUGUACUACAAAGGGCGAUGGGCCUAUAGUCGGCAACCCUUUUCGCUGCUCUAGUCUUUGGUAUUAACCUAACAUGAGUCUCAUUGAAACGAGUAUUGAGCGAAUUUGAGGUGAAGAAGCAUUCCAUUUCUUUGGUAACAUUAUCUCCUAUAAUGUCCCAAAAGCUUUGGUAAAAACUUGGCGAAAAUCCGUCCGGUCCCGGGGCUUUAUCCGGAUGUAUAGAGAACACCGCCUGCAUUAUCUCUUGCUUAUUCGGAAUCCUAAUUAAGGCAUCAUUCAUCUCUGAGGAGAUGAGCGGAGAGAGGACCUCAUCAAGAACCUGUAGCGAGGUAUUUUGCUGAGAUGAGAAUAGUUCCGUAUAGUAGUCCGUGAUGGUGGUGACUAUCUGUUCUUCUUCAAAGACUGCAUGUCCGUUGGGCUUUUCUAUCACAGAGAAUUUGUUGAUUGUUCUUCUCUCACUGGUUACAGCAUGGAAGAAACUAGAGUUGCGGUCACCACUAUGGAGCCAUUGGAUCCGACUCCUCUGUUUCCAAAACAAUUCUUCAUCUGUGAAGGCUUUGUCUAGUUUAGCUGAGAGUGUUCCAAUCUCUAUCAGGUCCGGGGUGGUUUUUGAGAGUGCCUCCUCCAGCUUUGCUUGUGUGUCCAUGAUCACCUGUUUGCUGUUUAGGUUCUGAGCCUUUGUCCAUUCCAUAAUCUUUCUCCUUAUCCGACAGAUUUUUGAAAGAACUGAUUCAUAUGACAAUGAUGUCCAAUGUUCUUCCACUAGCUCCUUUAUCUCUGUAUUGUCCUUCAGUCUUCUGUCGAAGCGAAAGAGUCCUCGUUUUCUUCUCUUGGUUUGGUUAAGAUGGAUCAGGAUCGGUCUAUGGUCUGAUCCUUCAAACCUCAAGUAUUCACAGCAUCCGGAGGGAAAGAUUUCAGCCCAUUUACAGUUGAUCAUGGCUCUGUCUAAGCAUGACUGUAUGAAAUGGCUAUAUCGAGUCCCUCUCCAAGAUAAUGAGUUACCCGAAUGUUGUAAAUCCCACAAUCCCAUUUGGGAAACAAAGCUUCUGAAAGCUAGAAAAGAUCCUUCCCAUCUCAACGGACCACCUAUUUUUUCAGAGUUAUCUUAGAGAUCAUUAAAAUCUCCCACUAUCAGCCAAGCUUCCUCAUCUCUUCCUAAACCAACCUCUGUUAACUUAUUCCAAAAAUCUGCUCUAUUUGCAGCGCUAGGUGGACCGUAUAUAAACGAUACAAACAUAGAUUUUUGUUGCAAAGUUAUGGAAGUAUCAAUAAUGUUGGGAGAGGAAGAAAGGAUAUCCACCUGAACAUCUUGUUUCCAGGAGAGCGAGAGUCCACCGCUAGUUCCGUUGGGAGGUACUGUGAAGUGGUAGAUGUAUUCCGUUUGCUGGAAUUUGCGGAGCACCACUUCAUCUUGAUUCAUCGUUUCCAUGAGAAAAAUCACUUCAGGGGAAAUUCGUUUUUUGAACUCCCUGAUUCGCUGGCCUGUCAAGGUGCUCCCAAUUCCUUGACAGUUCCAGCUGAGUAGCGCUAAGGAAGAGUGUUUGGAGCUGACCGAAAAUCCUUCCCUUUCUUCUUGAUGCUUGGGACUAUGGUUGUUUUCGGUGCUCCUGUCUAUGUUGGCUUUGUUGUGGCGGUAACAGCUGGGGUUCUUCUCUUAGGUGAGCUUUGUGUUUUCGAGACUCUCCUCUUCUUAAGGCUAAUUCCUUGUGUUGGGCUGCUGGUGACUCUUUUCUUUUGUGUAGCGUUAGCUGUCUUCUUUUUACCAACGCUUCGGGUAAUGAUACGAGGCCCCUCAGAUAACCGAGAAUGGAUAGGUACGUCCGAUGGACUAGAUGUCCGUAGAGGUCCCAAACGGAGGGAAACAUGACGUCUAUCUUCACUCAGUGUUCGUAUUGGAGAAAUAACAUCUGGUGGCGAAAGUGGCGCUCCUGGGGGUCUGGAUCCCGAUGGACGAGAGUUACUACCAAUGGGAAUACGGUUCAUCGUCUCUUCAAAAUAUUGGAUCUCUAUGUCUUGUAGACGACUUGAUCCUGUAGAAGUUCCUUGAGUAGAAAGUAAAGAUUUCCCAUUCGAGGGUAGUGAUAGUCAGUUUUUGGCUGGGAGCCUAUCAUUUGGAGGUGGAGUGGCCUGCAAGGCAUUGGUUCUGUUCCCUUCUUCACGAGCUGGGAGGGAUCUUCUCAGGUAUGUGCUUGUGAGUACAGCGGCUGGAAUCACAGGUGCUUGAAUUGAUUUGGAACCUGAGUCAUGGCUUCUCAAGUUUUCUUGUUCUAGUCUCGCAUGCCUUUUGUCAUUGUAACGUGUUUCUAGCUCACGAGAAGGGUGCUCUGAUACCGGAUUUUCUCUUCUGCUUCCUGUCCUGACUGACGCAGCUGGAGUCUGUGAGAGUGGCCUUCUAGAGUUUUCCUCUCGACCUCGACAAUAUUCACUUGUCACUAGAGCAUAGCUUUGAUUUUGCCUUGAGUGGUAUCUCGAGUCUUCUUUGCGCUUAGAGUACUCAAUUCUUCUUGCAUAGGGAGUUGGAUUCUCUCUGUAAUGAGGGUCCUUUGGUUCUUGCUCCCUUUUCCUCUCUUCAUACUUCCUUCGACGGUCAUCAAGUCGGAUCAUGGUGUUGUUUUGAGAGAUUCCCAGCCUUUUUGGGCUUCUAUCUCGAGUGUUGUCUAGAAAAGGGCAAUCAUUCUUCUCAUGAGUUAGUGAGAAACACUUGAAGCAGGGUUUUCUAGCUUGUCAUAAGCGAACUCCACUUGCUUUGUUUCUCCAGAUGGCAGUAGUAUAUCACGGACCAUUUCCAAGGGGUUCAGGCCAUUUAUGAGGACUCGAACGCGGGCUCGAGAUGGCACACAGUCUUCGACGAUACCAAGUUCAUUGCCAAUGGCUCUAAUGGCUGUAUCGUACCAAUAGUGUAGUGGGACACCAUGAAUCUCAAUCCAGAAGGGAAUGAGAGCUGGAAAGCUUUCUGAAACUACCGGCUCCCAGCGUUGGAUGAGUAGCAUCCAUUUUUUGAAAUGGAAAGGAGCCUUGUUGAGGAUAGUGAGGAGGUCCCUUUCAUUUUCAAAACAGAACUGGAACAGGUGAGGUCCUAAAGCCCUUCCCGUAAAAUGGCCAGCGACAUUCCAGUGUUGAAGAAAGAACUCAACAAGGGCCUUUGUGUUUUGAGUUGCCGGGUUAGUGACUCUCCCAAUAAGGGUAAAUUGGUUUUCCUCUAUCAGAGCUGCAGUGUCUGACUCUGGGAUUUGAACUGGUGGUUUCUUCUUUGGAAGGCUUGGAGCUGCCAUCCAUUUCUUCUUUUCCUCGCGAGAGUAGCGGUUACUCAUGUUGCUGUAGUUGACGUAAUCUAGAAAAUACUCAGAAGCGAGUCAGAUGUUGCUUGUUGAGUGUGGAAACCGGGAGUUAAGAUCUCACUAGGAGCAGUGACUAAAGAAGUUGUUGUAGUUUCUUGAAGUAAUCCUUAGGAAGAGAUAUUAAGCCAAAAGAGUUGCUCUGUUGCGCCUCAAAACAACAUGGACAGAUAUACUCAGGGAUUCCAUAGAGCUUGAAGCGACUGAUUCCUGCGGUGGUUCCGGCAAGGGAGACGGCGGAGACGGUCCCUCCGACCCGGGUCGGGGGAAGAACCCGGCGGGUGAAAGUUCAGAGGAGUGAAGUGUCCAACGGUUUAUACCCAAAAAGGGUUUUUCAAUUCAAAAGGAGCAAAAGAGAUUGCAGGUUUUACCAAAUACGGGAGAUAUUCGGUUUACUAAGCUAGAGGUGACCUUACGACACGUUGGGUAAGGACCGGUCUCAAACUCUGUGGCUGGGAGAAAAUCGCACUCGAAAUUUAUAUAUAGCACUGUAGGUGUUUGUCUCUUAUUGUAAGUAGGCAUCUAUUAGCACAAAGAAAUAGUGAUAAGCUUUAUUGCCCUCGUAAUAUAAUUUGGAAUCAUCUAUAUAGUAUAUCAUUUAUGCCAGAAUAUUAUGUUUGGUAUAUACAUGGGAAACAAUUGGUUUAAUAUAUAGAGAUAUUUGAGACUGAUUUGUAACUCCAUUCAGAAUAAUUGCUUAAAGUAUGUGCAACUACUAAUAUAGUGUGAACCUAGUUUUACACUGAAUAAUAUUCACAAAAAUGUUGCAACAAAUUUGUAACUACGACAUUUAAAUUAUUUGAAACUAACUUAUAAUUAUAAGUUUAGAAUUACAUAUGUAUUUGUAAAUUAGUUGUAAUAUCUUCUCUAUUAAAAGAGAAGUACUAUUUUUAUCUACUAUUUAGAAGUCUACAAGGUCCAUUUAUUAAAAUAUCAAAAACAUUUAUAUCUAUCUUAAUUACUAGAUUAAACACUUGAACCAUAUCUUUUAUAUAAUUACAUUUAACUUAAUAAUAAUCUAUCUUUACCAUUGACCACUUACUCUUGCAUACAAACGAUCUAUUAAUAUUAUUUACUACAACCAUUACCCACAAACUAAGCAUCUCUCGAUUGGUAAACAUAAGCCAAAAUUUAAAAGUUUCUUGAACAUGAUAUAUUAUAUCCUUUAGGUUUCGCUGGCCAUAACAAAAAUUUCAUCUCAUAUUGAAUCAUCCUAAUAUUAAGUCAAUGAUCUCGAGUUCUUUUGGGUUUAGUUAUUUUUCUCUUUAUCAAAAGCUUAUUCCUUUGUCUGUAUCAGCAUAGGUAGAAGACGACUGCUCUUAAUUUUUAACAUCGGUUUACUUGGUUUAUUUUCCAAUCCAACUGUUUAAAAUCAAAACAAAAAUGAAAUAUGGUUAGUCGACAGAUAUACCAAUAUAUUCAUAAAAACAAAUGUUUGACAACCAAUAAUUUUACAGUAACAUCCAAAUAUUUAAACAAUUGAAACUUUAUUCAAAUUUUGAGGAGGAAUAUUCUUUAGCAUCCUUUCCUGCUUCAAUAAAGAUUGUCGAUUUACAUUUAGGAAAUCCACUUUAUGAUUUCUUCAUGGUAAGGUAACUAAAAAAAACAAUCCUUACAUCUCAGUUAACAACCAUAUCAAACCUAUCUAUAAUCACAACUAGCUAAUAAAACUGGCAAGGUCUUCUCCUAUAAUCACGUAAAAUUGAAAUUCUUUUGACUACAUACCAGAGAUUUCUUUAUUAAUUACGAAAACCCUAAACAUUUUGUCUACACCUAUAUAUAUAGAACACAUCGACAUUAAGAUCUACACAACUAAACCAAACAAAAAUGUCUUCAAACAAGAGUAUUUCCUUAUACAAAGAUGCUAUGUCUUCAAACAAGAGCUUCACCUUGGUCAAAAACGUGAAGCCCUAUAGAGAUGGUUGGCGUGUGCAGGUCAAGUUGCUUCACUCAUGGAAGCAACAUACCAGUUUUGGUGGUCAUUUUUUAGAGUUGGUUUUAGCCGAUGUCAUUGUUUAAGCAAACCAAUACAAAGAAACAAACAAUAUUCCUUGAAGAUAAUAAUAUAAAAUGGAACUGUUUCAACCCAGAAAACUGUAAAAGCAGAAUCAACAUGAUAAUUAUGAUCUACCACGAAACUAUUUGUUCGUAAUGCAACGAGAAACAGUACAAGUUCUUUAAAAGUGAACAAACGAAACAAAAGUAAUGAUUCACUAAAAUAGCACACUAAAUAUUAUUAAAAACGAUUACUCAGUACAACUGUAAGCAGACGAUCAAAUUAUAUUAACAGUAUAACUAGAAGAACUGAAAUAUAUUCUAAAUCAAAAACCAAACAAAAAAUGAAAUCUAUAACCUAAAAUGAACCUAUUAAUACAAACAGAGUAAUAAAAAUUUAACAUUUGCUUUACUCUUGAUUCUGGUUUUCCUUUUCUGUAAAUUGUUUCAGUUAGUCUAAUUUAUCAAUAUGAAACCCAUCAGAAACAAAUAAUAACAACGACAAUCAAAUCCAAACAGCUUUGUUUGCUUUAACAUCUUAAACGAGAAUUGGUUAAACAAGUACAUCAAAGAUCAAAAGAAUCUGUAUCUUUUUCAACCGAUUUCACAAUGUAUAGCACCUUUGGUGACUCGUGAAAGGAUUUAACAAGAGAUGAUUUCCUGAUGAAUCAAUAUAUUAAUGGAUCGUAAAGGAUGAAACAAACCCUAACUUUCCCUUUGUUUCUGGUCGGUGACAAAUUUUUUUCUUAACGUAACGCCUGCGCUAAUUAGUUGACCUUUAACAUGGGCCAUGCGGUUAAAAUAUGCAAAUGGACAAUCUGAGAUAACAUAGCCUAAUAUCAUUUGGUCCAUUAUGAGAGUAUUAUUUUUUGAGCAACAUGAGAGUAUUAUUUGUUUCAAAAUUUUUUUGCUAUUAAGAGAAAGAUAAAUGUAAAUUAUAAACAUAAAUUAAAAAAUGUAUGUGGUCCGGUUAAAAAAAAACCUUAAGAGUGAUGUAAUUGUGAAUAUAUUUGUUAUAUAUAACAAAUGGUGAUACGUAUUCAUUUGCAAAAAUUUAAAUUAAAUUUGCAACAAUAUUUGUUCUUAACAAUAUAAAAAAUUAAAACAAAUCAUUCACGAAAAUCAUUUGAAGAUAAUGAAUUUUUCUAAUCUGAAUUAGAGUAAUCAUAACCCAGAGACUGACUGGUAUUUUGGAUUUUUUUUUAAUCUGUUAUGUUCUAUGUGUGUGUUGGUUGGAUUUGUUAUACAAAUGAUCCACCUCAUCCUUGAUCCAUAAAUAAUAGAAUACAUCACUUAUUAAUAUAUCAAACGAUAAAACAAUAUGAACAAUUUACACAAAUACAAACAUGUAUAAACCUACGACAACUUAAAAUUAUAAAUUAAGAUAACAUCCGGGCCACUUUAUAGCACUCAAUGCACGUUAUUCCUUAGUCGCUUUUAUAAAACCACAUAAUUUCUAAAAAAUCUACUUAUGCAAGGUUGUUGCACCCUUUCACUAGACUAAACUUUUUUUGGUCUUCUCUUAUAUUUCUCUAAUUAUAUCAUAAUAAAUGCUUUUAUUUAUCUUUUGAUUUUUUGCCUUUUAAUACACCUAAUCUUAAUGAAUAAAUUAUGGCUAAACUAAAUAAAUCACAUCUAUAAAUAUGUAAAAAAUAACUAAUUUGAAUUUAUAUAAACAUGUAUAACUUUAGUUAAAUUAUCAAAGAAGCAAGAACAAACAAACUUUUAAAAUAAAUCACAUCUAAAUUAAUCAAAAACUCAAUAGCAAAAGUAAUUGUAAAGGCGGUGUAUAUCUCAAGAGAAAAAAAGAAAAAUAUUAAUCACACAAUUUAAAUCCAAAAUAAAAAAAAAUUCAUUUCCCACUAUACGUGAAAUUACUGUAUUUAGUCAAAACAUUCACAAAAAGUAUUUUAAAUUAUUUUAUUGAUAAAAUAAAUAUAAAAAUAAUCAUAAAAUUUUACAAAAAUAAAAGAUUUCAACAGUAUUUAUAUUAUUUUAUUAAUAAAAUAAAUAUUAAAUAAAUAAAAUAUAAAAAUCCAUAAAAAAAUUCUAAACAAAUCAUAAAAAUCACUAAAAAAUCAUAAAAACAAAAUAUUCACCCAAACAAAUUAAAUUAUUUUAUUAAUAAAAUAAAUAUAAAAAUACAGAAAAUAUAAAAAUUCAUAAAAAAAAUUAAAACAAAUCAUUCACGAAAAUCAUUUGAAGAUAAUGAAUUUUUCUAAUCUGAAUUAGAGUAAUCAUAACCCAGAGACUGACUGGUAUUUUGGAUUUUUUUUUAAUCUGUUAUGUUCUAUGUGUGUGUUGGUUGGAUUUGGAAAAGUUCAGGAUUGUUAAAGGGAAGAAUGUAUACUAAUGAUAGCUUGAGGGUGGCCACUUUAUAGCACUCAAUGCACGUUAUUCCUUAGUCGCUUUUAUAAAACCACAUAUAAUUUUAUUCUUGAUUUUUGUGAAUUUUUGUGAUUUGUUUCGAUUUUUUAAUGAUUUUUUUUAUAUUUUCUGUAUUUUAUACUUAAAUAUUGUUGUGAAUCUUUUAUUUUUGUAAAAUUUUGGGUGAUUAUUUUUAUAUUUAUUUUAUUAAUAAAAUCAUUUAAAAUAUUUUUUGUGAAUUUUAUUGACUUUUUAUGAUUUGUUAUGAAUUUUUUAUGAAUUUUUUAUAUUGAUGUAUUUUUAUAUUUAUUUUAUUAAUAAUAAUUUUUUUAAAAAAAAUUGGUGAGUAUUUUGUUUUUUUUUUGCGAAUUUUUAGUGAUUUUAAUGAUUUGUUUUGAAUUUUUUAUGAAUUUUUUUAUAUCCUUUAUUUUACUAUUUAUUUUAUUAAUAAAAUAAUUUAAAAAAAAUAAAAAAAAUAAAACCGACACGUCAUCGUUUUUGAACAUGAUUUUUUAAUGAUUUUUUUUAUAUUUUCUGUAUUUUAUACUUAAAUUAGUUACCGUUUUGACUUAAUGAACAAGUAAGCGAGGUUGGAGGUUUUUUUUUGAUAAAAGUGUCAAAGGUUUAAACUGCUUGUGAAAUAUUUUUUUUUUUUUUUUGUUUGCUUGUGAAAUACUCUCAAAGUUUAAAGUGUGACUGGUUGCCAACUUGAAGUUUUUUAUGAGAUUUUGACUUAGUUAUGUGCUAACAUUCCAUAUGCAAAAGUCUCACUUUUUUCUAUUAAUUUUUCUUUGUGUUUUAGGCUGGGAUCCUGAAUCUAAAAGCAUUUGUAAAAUGUGCACAAAAAAAAAACAUUUGUAAAAAUAAAGUCUAAUUUCCAUAUUUGAUCAAUAUAAACUUUAAAUUUGGUAUAAAAAAUGAGCCUGCACGUGAAAAGGAAACAAAUCUAAACAAAUUUCCUCUUUCUAAAGAUCAAUAUAAACAGAAAAGGAAAGAAAUCUAAACAAGUUUUCACUUUCUAAAUAUCUAAAUAAACAGAAAAGGAAAUAGAAACAAGUUAUAUCUUUCUGGAUAUCUAUAUAAACACACCCAAACUCUACAUCUUGUUCAUAUCUCUCACAACAUCAACAAUGGGGAUAACGUUUUCGAGGACAAAACGACUGACAACAACAAGGUCGCAGCCUGACGAAGAAAUAAAUUUCUUCCUCAACAACGAAACCCCUCGAACACUGUCCACGAAUUCUAUCGAACAACAACACGAUGAUCAACUAAUAUCUUCUUUCCUCGAAGUCGCUGUCGGUCAGACCGUCGAGACCGCAAAAAGGUUCUUGGAGACAACGAACUGGAACAUAGAGGAAUCCAUCAAUCUUUUUCUCCUCCGCAACAACUACGAUCAUGCCGCGGAGGAAAGUAACGAGUCAACGACGUUCGAUGGUGGAGAAUCAGAUUCGACAUUGGCUUCCAUGUAUCGUCCUCCUGUAGACAUGCUUUUCGAGGGUCGUACGUUUGAGGAAGCGAAGUCAACUUCUUGUACACAGAAUCUAUGGUUGCUAGUGAAUCUCCAGUCCAGAACAGAGUUUGCUUCUCAAGCGCUCAAUCGUGAUUUAUGGGCGAACGAGACCGUUUCGGAAGCUCUUAUGUCCAGCUUCGUCUUGUGGCAGGUCUAUGAUAACACAAUCGAAGGGAAGAAGAUCUCGAACUUCUACAAGAUGGACUCUGCUCCACCUGUGGUGCUUGUGAUCGAUCCCGUCACCGGUCAGAAGAUGGGGAUGUGGAGCGGCGUGAUUGAUGCUCAGAGCUUUGUGGAGGAUUUGUCGUGGUUUUUGGAGGCUGGUCCUCAUGAGCAUAUUGCUUCACUGAUAAGGAACAGAUACCCUGAAGCGGAGGAGGAUCAGACUUGUUCCACAAGCAACAAUAAUGAUCAAGUCCCGGUUCCUUCUUGGGGUGAAGAGUUUGAAAAGAAGGAGGAUUGGUCCUCAAGCAACAACGUCGAGGGUCCUUCUUGGGGAGAAGAGUUUGAAAACGUGGAGGAGACGUGUUCUUCAAGCAACAAUGAUGAUGAUGACAUCGUUGAUCCUUCUUCGGGGCCAGGAGAACACUGGGUAGAGUUACCGGAUUUGACAGAAGAGCCCAAAGUAGACUGUGAUAAAAGCCUUGUGUGCAGUCUCUCUGUUCGGUUUCCAGAUGGGACAAGAAAGCAGAGAAGAUUUCUCAAGAGCGAACCUUAUCUACUUCUCUGGUCUUUCUGUGAUUCUCUCUUGGAAGAAUCAGAGAUUAAUGCGUUUAAGCUGGUACAUGCGAUUCCUGGUGAUUCCAAGACUCUUGAUUAUAGACUCUAUGCGACUUUUGAGGAAUCUGGACUCGCUAAUUCGAUGAUCUCGGUUCUUUCGAAGUGAAUACUUCGAGUUUUAGGCUAACCUUUAACUAAGAAGGCAAGAAAAGGAUUGUGAGUUUUAGUCCGAGCGUGUUGCUGUUCUUUUCUGCUUCUUAAUUCCUUGUAAUGAAUCAGUCACCGUUCUACUAAAAUUUCAGUUUCUUCUUUUUCUAAAGAGGUUAAACCAGAUAUAACAAUGUUCAACUUAGAUCACCCUUCCAAAUCACUUAACAUGCUAAUUUCUGCUUCUUGAAAUCUCAACUGCACCGUAAAUUUCCCCCUUUGAUUAUGCGAUUCAUACCAGUUCUCAAUUGCUAAUUUCUCUGUUCCAAAAUUAAGACCGCGAUAUAUACUUUUUCUACACGCUAGACGAUGAAGCAAUACAAGAAAACAGCCACAUACCGAGGGAAAGCUUCCUCGGGAUAUUCCGAUGGUCCAAUCUUCGGAAGUUCCGACGAAAUGUUCCUCAGAAUUUUCAUCGGGAAUUUCCGAGGAACGGAGCCCUCGGAAAAUUCCGAGGAAUGAGUCCCUCGGUAUAUUCCGAGGAAAUGUUCUUCGAAAAUUUCCGAAGGUUCAUUUCCUCGGAAUUUCAAAAAAAAUUAAUUUUUUUUAAAAGAACUUACGGAUUCAACAAUUUCGUUGAUUCGAACCCGGGACAAGUUGGUCGAAGCCGUCGAAUCGUUAUCCUCGGUUUGAAGCUGAGACACUUUGUCUUGCACCUAAGUUUGGACCAGGGUGACCACUUCCCUCACAAGACCGUCAUCAAUCAAAAAAAAAAGAAAAUAGUUUAAUAAAUUAAAAAAUAGUUUAAUAAAUUAAAAAAUUAUUUAAUAAAUUAAAAACAACCUUGUUGAUUUCCCACUUCUUCUUCCACUCGUGGAUCUGCUUCCCAUAGUUGUCCAUAACUUUAUGGACGAAGUGGUGAUAGAUAAAGAGCGUCUCAUCGGAAUUUCAGUUGAAUUCUUGCUGAAAAAAAAACACAAUUAGUAGAAAAUUUAUAUUAAAGAUUAAAAAUAUAAGUAAAAAAUUAGAAUACUUACCACCCUUUGAACUUUGAGCUCAAUUCGAAUUCAUCAUCUCACACAAAGGACAAGUAUAACCGGACAAGAUGAUUCUCUUGAAGCUCAGUAAAAGAACCCAAGGACUUUUCCACCAACGUUCUUCCUCCUGGCUUCCUCGUGAUCCAUGAUCCCCGCGGAGGUGGUAAGAACAAUGUAACCGAACUGCAAUUAUCAGAGAGCAAGAUGUCCUAAUCUCUGUAACACUGCUGAACUGCAAUUUUUUUUUUUGUAACACAACUUGUAUUAGAAAACUUAGGGAACACGGUUCGUGGGUACAAGGGCUUCGUUCAACAACGCUUGCUUUGCCAGAGCAUCAGCAGCCUUGUUUUUUCCGAUCGCUGAGUCCAAACAAAGGAAACAAAAUCAAAAGCAUAGACUAAGUUUAAGAUAUCAGAGGUAAUGCCAUAGAUCUCUGAGUUGGGCGCUUCUUCAUUGAUGGCUCUUAUGAGUUGUAGAGAAUCUGAUUUGCAUAGUUCACACCGGAUACCCUUGGUGAUGCAGCAAGAGAGGGCUUCCCGUAACGCCAGUCCCUCAGCUAUCAGUGGGGAGCUAACAAAAUGGCAGUGUGCCAUGUAGGACCUAGUCUGGUUUCCUUCUCUAAUUGUCCAUCCCAGUCCCGCUAGUUGCAGGUCUGCACGCCAAGCCCCAUCAGAGUGGAGCAAGGUAGCGUUCGUGGGGUCAGGGGGACGCUGUGUAGGUGGCUUGGUAGAUGGUGUGGUUCCGGCCUGUUGUUCUCUUAGCCAUUCCUGCACCGCUGAUGUAGCUCUGCUAAUCACUUCCUCCGGGGUGGAAUCUCUGUUAUUAAAGAUUCGAUUGUUUCUAGCAAACCAUAAGGACCAUAGGAUCCAAGGUGCUAGAGGUCCAGAAGCAAUUUCCACCGGUGGGAGGCACGUACGGGAGCAGAGGCCCGUCCAAGCUGAGGUUAAAUCUAGCAAUCCUCUAGCAUCAACACAAGUAGAGAAAGGUGCAAGUUUCCAUACAUUGUGUGAGAAUUCGCAGUGAAGGAACAGGUGGUUGAUAAAUUCAACUGUAUCACAUCUUGGGCACGUUUGCGAAGGUCCUAUGUUCCUUAACGCUAGAAGAUCUCCAACUGGAAGUGCCCCCUGAAAGAUUUUCCAGAGAAAGAGCUUGAUCUUUGGAGAAGUUUGUAGUCUCCAAAUGUUUUUUAUCCAGUCCACUUCCACGAUCGAAACAGUGUCUUAUCUCUUCUUUAUAUAAGUAAAAAAAAAAUACAAGUUUUACACUGAAUUUUGGGGUGGUUAAAAUAUAUUUACCAGUUUUAUGUAAGUUGACACAAACACAUAUGAAUGACUAGAGAUAAGUUAUAACUGAAGAAAGUGUGUAACAGUAAACCUCUAAAUUAAUCGUACAAAAGGUAGAUAGAUAUAAAUAGCGAGAAAUCUCAUAAUCUUAAUUUAGCAUGCAUACCAUUGUGUAGUAGCAUGCAAACAAAACCUAUGACUCAAGGACUAAUGUCUCGAGAGUCGAGAGGACCGGUUUGCCAAGAAUAAUAAGAAGUUGAAUCCAUCCCAUCUGUCAGCCUAUUGGGCAAGAAGAUCCAUAUAUAUAAAGACGAGAUCUAGUUUAAUAAGUGCUGUGACAUUCAUUACCAUAUUGUCGAAGUAGGUGGUCUAUCAUCAGUUUAGUUCAAGUUAUAACUCGUUAUCUUAAAUUCUUAAUUAUAUGUAUCCGAUCUAAUUUGGUUUUGGUUGACAAAUGACAACCUUGAUUUUGAAGUAACAACAAACAUUUCUUAUCAUCUUAUGGACUGUCUUGCAAUUAUCGAAUAUAUCAAUAAGUUAGUCUAAGAAAAUAAAUUAAAGAGAAGAAAGAAAGCUUUAGAAGUUCAUCUCAUGGACUCUUGUUGCAUUUCAACGUGAACGACAUUGUGCCUUCUAAUUUCUCAUUAAAAUAAAAAUAAACAUGUGACGUAUAUUCAUUUAUCUAAUUUCAUAAGAACGACAGGAAUACUAAUAUGUAUGACAUUUAGACACCAUACGGCAUGCAAACAACGAAAUUAAUAGACUCCAAUUUUUUUUUGAAUUUUUUUUUUAAGAAAUUGAAAAGAAAAUUUAAAGUAAAAGUAUGCUAACGAAGCUUGGAAAAUGAUAAUAUCCAUUUCUUUAUUCAAAGAUAUACAAAAUAAACAUGCAAAUAGUGAGCAGUCCCAUUGAUCAUUAACAAUUUAAAAACUUUGUCUGAUAACUAUUAUAAAAUUUAAAAGAUGUGAUGCUUUAGUCGAAUAAUUUACAUAAUUCAUUUUCAAGAAACUAGUAUAAAAAGUGUUGAUAUUUCUGGUUUUAUUUUUUAUAGUUGAUUUUUAGUCUUUUAGACACACAAAAAGUCUCACCUAACGGUCCUAAACCAAGAGUUUUCACUAUAAAUAACUUCUUUUUGUAACCUCAUUUUGCUCAACCCAAACAACCUCUUCUUUUGCAGUGUGUGCAAGCGUUUGAGUUUCUUUCUUCGUCUUCCCAGAGUAACAAGCCUUAUCGAAGCAAUUAAACCUACUAAGAAUGAAGAUGAAGUCCGCUGUUGUGCAGUUUUACGUUAUCUCUCUUCUCCUUUCAUCUUCUUUGUUCAUGCUUUCAAACGCCGAUUCGUGUAAGUAUACAUAAUUCAUUUCGUUACUUUAUAUUAGAAUCUCACUAUACAUCUAAAUAUGUAAUUUUACAUUUGGAAUAAUACAUAAAUUAGCACCAUGCAACGGAAAAUGCAACGUGAGAUGUUCAAAGGCAAGAAUCCAAGAUCGGUGUCUAAAGUACUGCAAUAUAUGUUGCGGGAAGUGUGAUUACUGUGUUCCCUCAGGCACUUAUGGAAACAAAGACGAGUGUCCUUGUUACCGCGAUAUGAAGAACUCCAAAGGCGGACCCAAAUGUCCUUGAACUCGUUUUUGAAGAUGAUCCUCAUAGACAUCAUAUCUGCCAUAUUACAGUAGUGGUUGUGACACAUCAAAUAAAUAGUUUGAUAUAUUCCAUGUAUGAAAAAUGUGAAAGAUCACAAUAAACAAAGCAAGUUUAGUUAAAUAUGGAAUGGUGAAGUUUAUAUGUAUUAAGAAUACAUAUUAUGCUUGGUUAAUCAAAACAAUCUUGAGAAGAUUAUAACUAGAACGUUAAAUCGCUGGGUAAUUAACUAAAGUGAGAUUGAUUUUAUUGUCAAAAUACCUAAUUAUCUCUCAGGUAGAAGAUUUGAACAAAGAGGUAGAAGUCUCAAGAACUGAAGAUAACUGCCAUAGAUAUGUUGAUAGUUUCAAGAAAACAUAAACUGAAAAUGACUGUCUAACUUUGCAAGUCUUUAACAACUUAGGCGCAAAACCCAUAACGAACAAAACGGCAUAUCAUCUAAAAAAACAAACGCAACAAAAACUCUACCACCCUUUUAACUUUGAGCUCAAUUCGAAUUCAUCAUCUCACACAAAGGACAAGUGUAACCGGACAAGAUGAUUCUCUUGAAGCUCAGUAAAAGAACCCAAGGACUUUUCCACCAACGUUCUUCCUCCUGGCUUCCUCGUGAUCCAUGAUCCCCGCGGAGGUGGUAAGAACAAUGUAACCGAACUGCAAUUAUCAAAAUUCUCGGUCUCAACUGGACAUCUUUUGAAAAAAAAAAAACUACGGGUCUUGCACGUUCGGGAACACCUCGUUCGGGUACAUCCUCUGCAUCAUCUCCAUCAUUUGCUGGUUCAGCCUCCUCUGUGCCUCAUAGCCCGCCUGUUGAGCCCCAUCUGGGUCUCCAACAAAGAUAUGCGAUCAUCCUUAUCCUAUAACUGAGCCGUAAGUACUUCUGGAUCAACAAAGGGCGGUGGUGCAGAAGAAAGAGGAACCGACCGGGUGCGACGACCCAAGCCGACCAAACGUCCCUUCUUAUUAAAUUCUCGGUCUCAACUGGACAUCUUUUGAAAAAAAAAAAACUACGGGUCUUGCACGUUCGGGAACACCUCGUUCGGGUACAUCCUCUGCAUCAUCUCCAUCAUUUGCUGGUUCAGCCUCCUCUGUGCCUCAUAGCCCGCCUGUUGAGCCCCAUCUGGGUCUCCAACAAAGAUAUGCGAUCAUCCUUAUCCUAUAACUGAGCCGUAAGUACUUCUGGAUCAACAAAGGGCGGUGGUGCAGAAGAAAGAGGAACCGACCGGGUGCGACGACCCAAGCCGACCAAACGUCCCUUCUUAUUUGGAACCGACUGAAAUAGAAAAUAGCCAAAUUUAAAUCAAGAAAUAAAUGAAUUGAGCUUUAAAAAAAAAGAACUUACGGAUUCAACGAUUUCGUUGAUUCGAAACCGGGACAAGUUGGUCGAAGCCAUCGAAUCGUCAUCCUCGGUUUGAAGCUGAGACACUUCGUCUUGCACCUGAGUUUGGACCAGGCUGACCACUUCCCUCACAAGACCGUCAUCAAUCUGGCCGGUCUUCUUGUUGGUAUANNNNNNNNNNNNNNNNNNNNNNNNNNNNNNNNNNNNNNNNNNNNNNNNNNNNNNNNNNNNNNNNNNNNNNNNNNNNNNNNNNNNNNNNNNNNNNNNNNNNNNNNNNNNNNNNNNNNNNNNNNNNNNNNNNNNNNNNNNNNNNNNNNNNNNNNNNNNNNNNNNNNNNNNNNNNNNNNNNNNNNNNNNNNNNNNNNNNNNNNNNNNNNNNNNNNNNNNNNNNNNNNNNNNNNNNNNNNNNNNNNNNNNNNNNNNNNNNNNNNNNNNNNNNNNNNNNNNNNNNNNNNNNNNNNNNNNNNNNNNNNNNNNNNNNNNNNNNNNNNNNNNNNNNNNNNNNNNNNNNNNNNNNNNNNNNNNNNNNNNNNNNNNNNNNNNNNNNNNNNNNNNNNNNNNNNNNNNNNNNNNNNNNNNNNNNNNNNNNNNNNNNNNNNNNNNNNNNNNNNNNNNNNNNNNNNNNNNNNNNNNNNNNNNNNNNNNNNNNNNNNNNNNNNNNNNNNNNNNNNNNNNNNNNNNNNNNNNNNNNNNNNNNNNNNNNNNNNNNNNNNNNNNNNNNNNNNNNNNNNNNNNNNNNNNNNNNNNNNNNNNNNNNNNNNNNNNNNNNNNNNNNNNNNNNNNNNNNNNNNNNNNNNNNNNNNNNNNNNNNNNNNNNNNNNNNNNNNNNNNNNNNNNNNNNNNNNNNNNNNNNNNNNNNNNNNNNNNNNNNNNNNNNNNNNNNNNNNNNNNNNNNNNNNNNNNNNNNNNNNNNNNNNNNNNNNNNNNNNNNNNNNNNNNNNNNNNNNNNNNNNNNNNNNNNNNNNNNNNNNNNNNNNCUACUCCUGCGAUAUGGAUGAUCAGGUGGUAGGAAUCUCCUGUGACAGUCAAACCAACACGUUUUCCUUCCGUGUUUUAGUUGGAAAGCAUCAGUGUUAUCUUGACAAUAUGGACAUGAUAGCCUUCCAUGCGUUGUCCAUCCAGAUAACAUACCAUAUGCUGGAAAAUCACUUAUUGUCCACAUUAGUACUGCCCGCAUUUGAAAGUUUUCUUUACACGAAACAUCGUAUGUUUCAGCACCUUGAGCCCAUAGUUGUUGCAACUCAUAUAUUAGUGGCUGAAGAAACACAUCAAGUGAUAUCUUAGGAUGCUCUGGUCCGGAAAUGAGAAUCGAGAGAAACCAAAAACUCUCGUCGCAAGCACAAGUUUGGGGGUAGGUUGUAUGGUGUAAGAAUGACUGGCCAUAGAGAAUACUGUCUUCCACUCUUGCCAAACGGGCUGAAACCAUCAGUACAUGCACCAAGGUAGACAUUUCUUCUCUCAUACGCAAAGUCGGAUACUUUGAUUGGAAAUGCUUCCACGCUUUUGCAUCUGAAGGAUGUCUGAUCUCACCAUCUGUUGAGUGCUCCGCAUGCCAUCUCAUUGGUUGCGCUGUGCGUUCAGACAGAUACAACCUCUGCAACCUUUCCGUCAAAGGUAAAUACCACAUCCUUUUAUAUGGCACUGGAACUCUUCCACUCGUAUCUUUAUAACAUGAUGAUACCAAAUUUUGUAACUUCGUGUAAACCCACUCAAAUAUAGAUGAGUCCAAACAUCCUACUCUUUAAUAACCUUUCUAUUUUUACAAUUAGAGCAAGGACAUCUUAACAUACAUGUUUUUGCUUCCGGUUGUCGGUGAACUAACCCCAUGAAUUCGGUUAUACCUCGUUGGUAUUCUUCCGUAAGCAAUCUCGUGUUCGGAUCCAAAUGAGGUCGAUCGAUCCAAGAACGAAAAUAAUUUGAAGAAGACAUAUUUUUUAUGAAUCAAAUUCGUGUGUAAAGAGAGUAAGAAGGAGGAUGAAGAUAUGGAGUGAAUGAAGAGGAAGAGGGGUGUUUGUAUUUAUAGUUGAAAUCCUGCCGACAGACCGAGGAAAUUCCGACGGAAUACCGACGGCAACGGCUCUUUCCUCGGAAUUUCCUUGGAAUUUUUAAAAUCCCCCAACGGCUCUUUAACGGCUAUAAUAUAUCCUCGGAAUUCAUCGGUUUUUUUCCGAGGAACACAUUUUUCCUCGGUAUUCCAUAAGAAUAUGCCGACGGAUUGAUAUUUCCUCGGAAUUCCGUCGGUAUAUUCCGAGGAAAUUCCGAGGAAACCAAAUUUUGUGUUUCCUCGGAAUAAUUUGGUUUCCUCGGAAUAUCCUCGGAAAUUCCUCGGGAUAGUCCGAGGAUUUCAUUUUCCGUCGGAAUGUCCGUAAGAAUACCGCUGUUUUCUUGUAGUGAAGUAUUGUACUGGUUUCAAGUUAAUAUAAUGCAUGUUGAAACUAUACUAGCCAUUUUACAGCUUCAAUGUAUACACUGAUAUUUUGCACCAAAAAAAAGUAUAUACAUUGAUGUUGUUGUUCUGUAAAAGCUAUAGGUUUUAUGAUAUCCCAAUCCAUUAUAGCUGUAAUGGUCCGACACUAAGUAAAACAUAAUGUUUAUAUUGUUUUGGAACACAAGUAAAACACAAUGUUUUUUUACUAUAGUAGGACAGAGAACAUAAACUAGAGAGUAGAACACAACAAUACAAGAGAAUCUCUACAAAUAACAUACAGUUAGAUAAAAAAAUUUAAUGCACUUAUAAAUUUUAUCGAAAACGAUUGCUAAAUAAGUUCAGGACAUGACUUAUUUGACUUAUAGAUCUAGUCCAUCUAUAUGUCAUCCAAGAACCUUUCAAGAAACCAGUCCAUCUAUAUGUAAUCCAAGAACCUUCCAAUAAACCAGGAACCUCACUAGUCAUACCAAACCCCAGGAUCCUGCUACAGCAUUCACAUCAUAAUGUCGUGGACCAUCUCGCACACAUCAUUUCGUUCUACACAAAUUGCUUCAACUAAUUUUAUAUGGGCGAUAAAUCCAAAAUUCAUCACUAAGAGUGUCUACUUGCGUUUUUGGCUCCAACACCUGUAAAAGAAAGAACUUUGCUUGAGCAAGAGAGAAAGCAAGAUCAGAUUUUGCCAAUGAGAGGUUCAGAAUCCAGUUUUGCAUUCUUUUGAUAGUAAAGUGGAAGCUCCAAGUAAUAGCUAGGAAGCUGAUCAACUGGUGACCUGAUAUAGUCUUAGAAACCUAUCCAACAAUGUAAUAGUUAAAUAUUUACUCAGUGAUUUUUCUAGUCUAUAAAACAAAAAUAAAUUAUAGGCUACAAAAAGUUACGAUUUAGUCACAUGCGUUAUUAUAAAAUAGUUCAAUGACAAUCUACAAAAAUAAAGAUAUAAAACAGUCAAACUUAUAUGUUAAUGAACAAAUCGGUUAAGAUCUCUGUCAAGAUACAGAAACGUAUAUAGUAUAUUAUCAAUCACGUUCUACGGCAAGGAACGAGACUACUAGAACGAUAUGAGUCAUCUUACAAGUACACGAUUGACAACCUAAAACAACACUCUUUACUAAUACCAUAUUUUUGCUUGAUAAUAGAAAUGUUGAUUUGGAUAACUGUGAUUAGUGUUCUAAUUGUACAAUCAUAUUGUUGACCGUUCACACAAAUAUAAAAUACAAAUUGUGGCUUCGAAAGAUUGGUCUAUGAGCUACAGUUUCUGUAUGGAACACGCUACGAUCUGACGUUUGUAACAGUAGGGAGCUUCAGAAGAAAUUGAAAAUAAGUGGGGGAUUUCUAAAAUAGUCGUAAAACCUUAGGGGUCUAAAAUCUAAUUUUUGGGAACUUUUUUUUUUCCGUUUGUCCUAGAGCCUAGAGGGUUGUACUGAACUGAAUCCGAUAAGUUGGUGAGAUGUGUCUUGUACAGAAUCACAGAAGACAGAGAGAGAGAGAGAAGAUUCGUCGUAUGAGGUCUUAAAAUAAUCAAUCAUCAUAAAGCCCUCUCCCUUUUCGAGGAUCUGAAGAAGAAAGAUGCAACUGAUCAAUGCGGUGGCGGCGGCGAGGAUGCUGUCCGGAUUGGGACAAUCUAACGGAGGAGGCGAGGCGAUUCCGUUUGGAUCGCCGUGGUGGUUCAUCUACGCAGGCGUCUCUUGUAUCCUCGUUCUGUUCGCGGGAAUCAUGUCUGGUCUGACUUUGGGGCUCAUGUCUCUGGGUCUCGUGGAGCUCGAGAUUCUCCAGCGCAGUGGCACUCCCAACGAGAAGAAGCAAGCCUGUAAACUCUCCUUCUUCUUCUUCUUCUUCUUCUUCUUCAAUCCCUAUGUCUUGUUUCUCAAUCAAUUUUUAUUUAUUUAUCGAAAUUUGAUCUGAUGAUGGUGAUUUCUUUAGCUGCGAUAUUCCCGGUUGUUCAGAAACAGCAUCAGCUGUUAGUGACACUGCUUCUGUGCAAUGCUGUUGCAAUGGAGGUUUACUCUCUUACUCAAAGUUUCUUGCUUUUUUUUUUGGUUUCUACAACUUACCUAUGGGGAAUUAAUUGGGCAGGGGCUUCCUAUAUAUUUGGAUAAGCUAUUCAAUGAAUACGUUGCCAUUAUUCUUUCUGUCACUUUUGUUCUUGCUUUCGGUGAGGUAUGUAUAGUUUUGCAUAUCUAAAUGCUUUUAUCAACGAGUGAUUUGAACAUAUAUUGUUUUUUCUUCUUCUGUCUUUGUAAGGUAAUACCUCAAGCGAUAUGCACCAGGUAUGGACUCGCCGUUGGUGCUAAUUUCGUCUGGCUUGUCCGUAUUUUAAUGAUUCUCUGCUACCCUAUUGCCUUUCCCAUCGGCAAGGUCAAUUCUUGAUUAUAUCUUUUCUCUGUUCUGGAAAUGUGUUAUUGAUUCUUCUUUCUUUCAUCUGCUCACUUUAUGUUUCUUUUUUUUUUGUUUUUUUUUUUUUUGGGAUAGAUAUUGGAUUUGGUACUGGGGCACAAUGACGCUUUGUUUAGACGUGCUCAGUUGAAAGCUCUUGUCUCCAUUCACAGCCAAGAGGUUAUUUAUUAUAAAAACUCUGCAGAUGCUUCACUACUUUCGAGUUACUAAUUUUGGCACACUAUGGUCUUAGGCUGGCAAGGGAGGCGAACUUACGCAUGAUGAGACAACAAUCAUUAGUGGAGCUCUUGAUUUGACCGAGAAGGUAUCUGUGAAUAUCAAACUCUCACACUUUCUUGAAUUCUUUCCUGAAUCAUGGAUUCGUCUGUAUAGUGAAAGUUAUUCACGCAAAAGCUGUACUUGGUUUGAUGACAGACUGCACAAGAAGCCAUGACGCCAAUCGAAUCGACCUUCUCCUUGGAUGUAAAUUCAAAGUUGGACUGGUGAGUUUGCUUCUCAACUGUCUUGCUUGUCUCAAUGUUCGUCUGUUAUACUGCUUUGUGUGUAAAAUGACCUCACAGGGAAGCUAUGGGUAAGAUUCUGGCACGAGGCCAUAGCCGAGUCCCUGUCUACUCUGGGAAUCCCAAAAACGUUAUUGGACUUCUCUUGGUAACUAUGGCUUACUCUUACUUGCAUGUCAUGUUUCUGCAAACUGUAAUCAACAAGAAACUCUUGUCUUUGUUAGGUAAAGAGUCUACUUACUGUUCGACCUGAAACAGAAACACUUGUCAGCGCUGUUUGUAUACGUAGAAUGCCAAGGUUUCACCAUUACUAUAUUUGACCUUUCACUCUCUUUCAUGUUAUCUGUUUAUAUUGAAACUUAAUAUUGUGAAUGAUGUUAUAUUUGCUUUAAUAGGGUUCCAGCUGAUAUGCCUCUGUAUGAUAUACUAAAUGAGUUUCAAAAAGGAAGCAGUCACAUGGCUGCGGUUGUGAAGGUUAAGGGCAAAAACAAAGUUCCUCCUUCAACUUUGCUUGAAGAAAACUCUGAAGAAACCAAUGACUCGGAUUUGACUGCAUCUCUGUUAUUGAAACGAGAAGGGAACCACGACAAUGUCAUUGUCCAAAUCGACAAGGCUAAUAGGCAGUCGUUUUAUCAAAACAACGAGACUGUACCACACGGGUUCACACAUACUUCAGAGGAUAUCGAGGACGGUGAAGUUAUCGGUAUCAUCACUUUGGAAGAUGUGUUUGAAGAGCUUUUGCAGGAAGAGAUUGUGGAUGAAACUGAUGAAUAUGUUGACGUUCAUAAAAGGUUAUCCUCUUUAAUACACUUAUGCAACGAUGUUUCAGCUGACUGACAACAAAAGUCUCCCUUUUAUUUGCAGGAUUCGAGUAGCAGCAGCAGCUGCCGCCUCAUCAAUAGCUCGAGCUCCUUCAAGCAGGAGAUUGAUUGCACAAAAGGGAGCUGUGAGUUAAUUGCAAAACGAAAACUGAUUAUUGGUCUUAUGCUGGAGAAAGUUCAAGAUUUUCUUAGAGAUAAGUUGUGUAACUUUGAUUUGCAGGGUGGUGGACAAAAUAGGCAAGCGCAGACGGUAAAAGGUUCUAUUACAGAGGGGAAGCAACCGAUAUAAUGGAUGUUGUGUCGUUGCUUGAAGGGCUAAAACUCUUGUUUGCGUUAUAAGAAAGGAACACAGAAUAAAGUAAAGAUCCAAGUCUUGACCACGUUCUCUUCAAUUGGAAAAUUCAUCAUAUAAGAGAUGGUUUGUCCCAGUUUUUUGUCUACAAAUGCGUACAAUUUGUAAUAUACUCCCGUACUUAUUCUUUUAUACGUGUCAUGAAGUUGUCACAGUUUGCUAUAUGGUCUUUAUGUGCGCUGUUUUGGUAUGUGUGUAAUUAAGAAAAAUUUCUACCAAGUCCCCAAGGAUUUCAAGAACUGGGAUAAGCUGAAAAUGUGAGCUUUGAUGUGAUUGUCAAGCAUCGGACUGUACUAGACCGCGAAACAUAUAUUGGUUUCUUCUUAGAAAUUUCGUAGUAUAGUUUUUUUUAAGUUUUUGUCACAAAAAUAGCUUUCAAGAAAAAAAUAAUUAAAAUAAGUUUUAUUAAAAAGUAAAAAUAUAUUUUUUUCAUAGGGUUAACUAAUUUAGACUUAGAGUUAAAGGGGUAGAGUUUUAAGGAUAGAGUUUCAAAUUAAAAAAUAUAUAUAUUAAAAAUUUCAAAAUAAAAAAGAGUUAUUUUGGUCAUUUUUUUCUCGAGUACUAUUUUUGUUACAAAAAUUUAAAAAUGAAUAUCUGAGUGAAUUGCCCUAAAUCUUUUUGGGGAUCAUUUUCAAACUAGUGAAGUUUUGUCGGUUAUUUUUCUUAUUUCUUUUGUUAUGUUUUGUUUUAGCUUUCUUUCAUGGUUAAUAUGCAAGAAAUGACUGGACAACUUAAAGGCGCACUGGGUCAAAACUACACCACGUUGCAAGAGCUUCAUGCCCUUAUCAUUUGUCUAGUGGUCGACGAUUCCCCUUGAGUAAGCCGGUUUGUUGGUUAUAUGUAUAUCGCCAUUUUCAUAUCACAUGUUCAUGAACCACCUAGUGUAGAGGACAAGCAGUGGGACCGCUAUGGAUCCAAUCCCAUGUCCCCUAUUUUCUAAUAGUUAAGGGUCCAAAUUCUAAAGAAAAUGUACGUUUUUUAUCCAAAAUAAUAAUAAGAGUCCAAAAAUAUUUUAUAUAAACAUAUUUGUUUCAACAAAAACUUUAUAAAAAUUCAUCUCUAAUAUUAAAAAAAAUAUUACAAACUUUAAAUAAACUUUAUCUAAUGUUUUAGCAUACUUGAUUUUGUAAAAUAUUCAACUUUACUAUUAUAAUUUGGUAUAGUUAGUUUCUUAUAUAUCGUUUGUAUGGUUAUUUUAAUUAUAGUUUUGUCUAUUUUUUAUUUUUGGUUUAUUAUCGGGGUUCAGAAUUUUUGAAGACUUUCAAAUCACAAAUAAAAUUUAUAAACUAACAACUUACAAAAAUUGAGAAAAUAUUGUGUAACACCAGUCUAAAAUAUAACACUUCAUAAAAAAUUAUUAAUUAAAGCGAAGAUUUAUCAUUUGAAUCAAAGUUGUUAAUCUAAAAUUCUCAAAUGUUUUUUUUUUUAAACACAUAAACAUAAAUUCAAUUAAAAUUGAAGUUUCACCCGAUCUUCUGCUUCCUUAGUAUUGGUUUGUUUAAUGAUUGAAAUUUCAUCGACUUGUCCAAGCUUUUGAUCUGCUGCUUUUAACAAUUCCAUGACGAAGAUGGAUAUUUGGAAGCUUGAAGAUUCUUACUUUACAAAGUAUGUGUUUUAAGAAUGUUGAUAAUCUUUGUUGCUCCACCGAUUAAGAAAUAGUAUUCACCUUCUGUAAGUAUAAGGUUGUUUCUCCAACACCAAGAGCAGAUGAUGCUUUAUGUCACAGUAGAAAUUGACUGUACCAUCGUUGUUAACUUGACUUUUAAAUUUUUCGACCAACAGCUAGAUUUUAGGGAAAGUGACCUUGAUUCCAGUUGGGUUCUGAUUAUCGGUGUUGAGCCCUAUAGCCACAAAGCACAACCGAUGAUUUUUCUCAUAUUCAUGUUGCACAUCUUCAUGAAUAGACAGUUUCAAUUUGUCCGCUUGAAACUUCAAGUCUUGCAGCGUCUUUCAUAUAACCUUUGUCGGAUCUACUUGUUGAUAUAUGUGAUGAUUUGGAUUAAUGAACCGAUCUUCCGAUUGCAUGUUGAAAAUCUUGAUUUGUUGAUCGAAAUUUAGGGUCGAUUGGAAUUUCUCCAUGAGCUUUUUAGAAUUGUCUAGCAAAAAAUGUUAUUAACAUGUAUAAACACCAAACUUUAAAUAACACAUAUGAUAUGUUUUCAUAUAAAUUCAAAAUUAUUGAUUAAAUCUUUAUGUUUUGAGUAGAAAUGUAUAUUCUUUUUUUUCAUUUUUUUUGUAGUUACAAUAAAUAUGACCAGGUCCAAUUUUGACAGCAAAUAAAUUACAUUUUUUUUUGUCAACUUUUCAUUUUAUAAACGAAACCCAACAGGGUCCAGUUACAAACAGUACAAGGUUCUGAUAGAUACAUUCAGCCCAAGUUGAGCCCAAAUUUAAAGAUAAACAUUAAUCGCAUGUGUAACACGUAUACAACACGUGUUCUCUUCCUAGGCUCCACCGUCUAAGAGCGAGAAACGCCGCCGAAACUCUCGCCGGCCGAUCACGUUCACCCUCUCCGACUCCCUUGAAACUGCUUGUUUGCUUCAAUCUCCUUCAAUCGCCACCAGUUCAUCAAGGACAUCUUCUCUAACCAUUAGAGUUAACCUUCAACGAAGACCUUUGAAAAAACCCGAGACAGAACAUUGUUUGAACGCUAGCCUGAACAGCAGCUCCGACUCUUCUAUUUCUGCUUCGAAUCUCCCUAGUAUCUUCUGACCCUCUUGUCUUGAUCUUCAUGGAUACUUCUUUUCAUAUGAGAAGAUUGAUUCCAAAUCCGAAUCAAGAAUUGAGCUUUUCUAGUGAAAGGAUUGUCUAUCCUUUGAAACAGAUGGAUUGAAGAUGAAAUCAGAAGGAGAAGAGCUAAAACACAACAAAAAGUCACCAACACGAAAUUUAAAAUCGCUAACGCGAGAUUGGAAAUCGCCUAAGCGAAGAACAUAAUCGAUCAAAAGAUCGAAAAGCUAUUUUAUAACAAAAAAAAAUCUCUUAUCCUCUAAAAAAUUCCCUCUUGUGAAAGAUAGAAGUGCGAGAACAAGAGAGAAUUUUUACAUUUAAUGCACCUACAAUCCUAAAACUUUAGUGAACUUUUUAAAUAUAACUAGGUGCAUAGUCCCCGCGCAAGCGCGGGGUCGACUUCAUUAUAGGUGUAUUAUAUAGUUUUGUUUACGGGAUUUUAUUGUUUUUUGUUUAUAAUGUGAUUGAUGGGACUUUGGAUAUUACAUAGGUUGAUGAGUUUGAUAUAAGAAUGAACGACGAAGUCAUAUGUUGAUAUUUUUAUAUCUUAUAUGUUCAAAGUUGAAGGUGAUGGAACUUGUUAGUGUUUACUUAGGUAGUUGUUUGUAUAUAAAUCAAAUAGUGCAUGGAAAAAGAUAAUAAAUUUGGAUUUAAAAUGUUAGGGUUUCAAAAUAACUGGGCCUUGAAUCUGUGGUUUAGUCUAAUACUGAAAAAACUGUUAGGACUUCAACUCUUUUUUUUCUCUAUGUCGGGAAUGUGGGCACUAAUUUCCCGAUUCAUGUAGGUAAAAUUGUUUCUUAGUUUGUGAGAUUGAAAAGCGUAGAUUGAUUUUAAGCAUGAUUGAUGAGAGGUUUACUUGCAUCAGCUUCGUCUGCCGUGGGUGUUGAGUUUCGUCGGCGCCAGAUGUUAGACAUGCAAGAGAGAAGAUCUGAAUAUGUUAAUUUCGUGUUUUGUUUUUUCUUCUCUCUUGUUUUGUGGGUUCCACUCUUUGCUCAGGCUGUACAAAAGAUGAAGUCUGGCUAGGCCGUCUCACUUCUCUGAAGUAUUCCCUUGAUUAACCUCCCACCAACAUCUAUCUUCUGAUUCUGUCUUGAAGUCGAGGAGCUUCCAGAAAAAUUAGCUUCCAUCUGCUGUUCCGCUUGGAAUGGAGAGUUCUGAAAUGCCGCAUAAAAAACAUAUUGGCAAAUAACUAAUGAUUGUCAACAACUAUCACUAUACUAAAUAGAAAAUAAAUCAAGGUUUUUUGUUCUGCACAAACUAAAAUCUUACAACAGGGUUGUCACGGUCUUUUUUCAGGAGCAAGAUCUUUUUCUUCCCAGAGACCAUAGUCAAUGCAAUUCUUGGGAGAGAACUAUCCAUGACAGAGGCUAAAGUUGCGUAGAUGAAAAAAUAGAUCAGAAACACAAUAGAUUUUUUCAGAUAGGGAAAAUAUGGGAUAAGUUGUUGACUAAUUAUCAGUUUCAGUUGUUGGUAUGUCAUUCCACUUGAAUUUGCCUGAUUGUAAUCUUGCUUGGAGCUGCCAAAUAUGCUAUGUUUACCAAUUUCUAGGUUUGUGUUCGCAAUCACUUGGAGCACCUAGCAACCUCAAAACGAUCGACUUUCACAAUGGAAUCUGCUUUCAAAGAUGGCAUGUAAUGAUUAGCACGUCCGACGGGAGUAAACCCAUGAAUCACGGAAUCUGCAAAUAGUAUUAUCCAACAAAGAAUCAGGAAAUAAAUUAAAGCAAUUAUGUUAAAUAAGGGUAGUAGAUCGAAGAUUAACUUACCUUUUCAUCGAGGAAAUGAACCGUGAUUCCCACAAACUCCCUGUCUUUCUUGAAGUUCAGGGAAUCUCAGAAGCGGAGGAAGCCAGAGGCUAUGCUCUGACUACUAAGACCAAGACGGAGAGACUCGAAGGUUGAGUGACGGACGCCGGGACGCCGGUUUGACGAACUGGGGAGGCAGAGAGAAAUAUUUUCUAGAAGAUUGUUAAAGCUAAGAGUAAUCAAUGAGUUUUGUGGAGAUGCAGAUUGGGUUCAUCAAAGAUGAGAAUCAUAUAUAUAUGGUUUACAGAGGGGCUACAAAUCAGGAACAUUUAUGAUCAAGCGAUUUAAGAUGGGGACAUGAAGAGUUCACCGGUGAAAAAAUAGAUUACGAACAUACACACGGCGCAACUCUGUAACUCAGACUUGUUUGAGACAAUGAUGAAAAUAACUCAUAUUAAACUACAACAGUUUACAAUAUAGGAAAACCAUAAUUGUUGCAACCUUCUGUUUUUUUCAUAUAACGUGAUGAAUCCCAUUUAAAAAUGAAACCCCUAACACACUUGUAGGUCCGACCCUCAGAGGAAGCUGAAGAAGCAAGGGCUUCCGACCUUCAUAAAUAUAUAUUAGGUUCGGCCAUCAAUGUACAAAGGUAUCAGUUAGCUUAGUGGUAUAAAUGUUGGUGUUUAUAUCUUAAUAACCCGGGUUCGAACCAUGGGCUUGUCACUUUUUUACACUUUUUACAGUUUAUAUUAGAAAUCAAUUAUAAUAUAGAUUUUGUUAUUUAGAUAUAUAGAAAUAUAGUUGAUGAGGCAGAAAACACUCUUGCUUUUUUCACCUUAAUCGUUUGUAUAGUUUCUUCCUAAUGGUGUCAUUAUUCUUUAGACAAAACCCAAAUUACCCUUUAUUAAUGUGAUUUUUAUGUGGUGGUAAUCUAUCGCUUUCGUAACACAAAGAGCCGUGGCCUGAGAACCAACCACUAAAAUCCAACUAAAACCACCAUACGAGCACUCCAUUUUGUUAUCGGCUAGCCUCCUCUCUUCUCCUUCUUCACGCGCAGGGUGAGCUACUGUAUGUAACCCCCAGACCCGCUUCUUGUUCUCAGUUAUGUUGUAUUCAGACACAAGCUUUUGUGUUAAUUGCUGCUUUCCCGUUUAUGUAAAUUCUCCUUCUUUUAUGCCUUUCCAGAUUACUUAGAAGCAGUGUUAUGGUUGUGUUUGGGAAUGUUUCUGCAGCGAAUUUGCCUUAUCAAAAUGGGUUUUUGGAUGCACUUUCAUCUGAAUUGAUGGGACACAACAGCUUCAGAAUUCCGAUCUCUUCACAAGCGCUUAAGACAAGAACAAGGCGAAGGACUUCUGGUCCUUUGCAGGUCUCUGUCUGAUUCUUGAAUUUUUGAAGUUUUGUUUGUGUUUUUCUUGUGAUUAAAGAACACUUUUUCCUUUUUUUUCCUGGGAGUAGGUAGUGUGUGUGGACAUACCAAGGCCAGAGCUAGAGAACACUGUCAAUUUCUUGGAAGCUGCAAGUUUCUCUGCAUCUUUCCGCAGUGCUCCUCGUCCUGCAAAGCCUUUAAAAGUUGUCAUUGCUGGUGCUGGUAUGCCAUUGUCCUUUUAUUCAUUAUGCUACCCAGUUUGAUGUGAUGAAGCUCAAAUAAAUUGCAGGAUUGGCUGGGCUGUCAACUGCAAAGUACCUGGCUGAUGCAGGCCACCAACCUCUCUUGCUCGAAGCAAGAGAUGUUCUUGGUGGAAAGGUACUUCUUCUAUUCAUCAUUCUUAUUAAGGACUUGCUAGUUUCGGUGAAGUUAAGUUCUUCAUUGAAAUCAUAUAUUAACGAACGACGACGAUGUGAUAUAUAUUAAUAUAUGUGUGCCUCUAGAUAGCUGCAUGGAAGGAUGAAGAUGGAGAUUGGUAUGAAACCAGUUUACAUAUAUUUUGUAAGUUCUAAUUCAUAAUCUCUCCAAUGUGUGUGUUAUAAGUUGCUCACAUGACGGUUGAUAUUUGAAAAAUACGUAUAUUUUUUACAUGUAAAAUCUACCAAUUUGUGCUUCAGGCUCUAAGAAUCACAGCUGAAUAAUAAAAAAAAAUUUAGCAACAUAUAUACUUUCUCUUUGCAAAGUGAUUAUACAGAAAAUUCAUGAUGUCAAUGGGAGCAUAAGCAUUUUGAGUUCAGUAUGAUAGUAACCUUUAUUAUCUUGCACCCCAUUUCGAAUUGUCAGCAAGAAAGAUCCCUCUCAUAGUUUGAAGGAAGAUAUCAAUAUUUUUGAUUUUCCUAAGUGAAGUUCAUAACUUUGUUUUCCUUUUGACUCUUUUCAUAUUCUUGCUGGAAGUCGGUGCUUACCCGAACGUGCAGAACUUAUUUGGAGAACUUGGGAUCAAUGAUCGGUUGCAAUGGAAGGAACACUCCAUGAUAUUCGCCAUGCCAAGUAAACCUGGGGAAUUUAGUAGAUUUGAUUUCCCUGAUGUUCUACCAGCACCCUUAAACGGUAUGAGCAUAGUCUUACUAGUUCUUGGAACUUUCAAGCAUAGCAUGUCUGAUGAAAACAGUGGUUGAAUCAAAUAUGAAACACAUGUUCAAUAAGAUGUGUUGAGUAGAAAACUAAUCAUUUUGCACAUUUAUAUUUGUAUUGGUCAAUUCACGCCAUUGGUAUACAUCUAAUGUAGACUCUGAAAAGAACAUUUUCAUUUUUCUUUCAAAGCAAGGAAUCUAGUUUAAAGCUUUUAAUAAACAUACGUAAAGAUAAGUAUUCAUAUUAUUUAGUUGUAGGCUUUUAGCGCAUAGUGCUGAAUUUGUCCUCUGUUUGAAAUAAAUUGUUUUUGUAGGUAUUUGGGCAAUUUUGAGAAACAACGAGAUGCUGACAUGGCCAGAGAAAAUAAAGUUUGCUAUUGGACUUCUUCCAGCAAUGGUCGGAGGUCAGGCUUAUGUUGAGGCCCAAGAUGGUUUAUCAGUUGAAGAAUGGAUGAGAAAGCAGGUCAUCUUUCAUUGGUUUGUUUGAUUGGUUGCUGAUUUUUCAAGUUCAUGUGUUGCCUUCCUUCGAGUGAUGUAAGUGUUCUUUUCCCAGGGAGUACCUGAUCGCGUGACUGAUGAGGUGUUUAUAGCCAUGUCAAAGGCACUUAACUUUAUAAACCCCGACGAACUGUCAAUGCAAUGCAUUCUGAUAGCUUUGAACCGGUUUCUUCAGGUUUGGACAUUCCAAUAACUUUUAUUCCUCUCUCCAUUGACAAUAUAUUGCAAUGCAAAUCAUAGUUACCACUCAAGCAUGCUUACUUCUCAUAGAAUUAAACUGCUAUUGACAGGAGAAACAUGGUUCGAAGAUGGCCUUCUUAGAUGGUAAUCCUCCGGAGAGGCUAUGCAUGCCUAUUGUUGAACAUAUUCGAUCACUAGGUGGUGAAGUGCGACUUAACUCAAGGAUAAGGAAGAUUGAGCUGGAGGACGAUGGUACGGUUAAAAGUUUCUUACUCACUGAUGGGACCACAAUCCAAGGAGACGCUUAUGUGUUUGCCACUCCAGGUUCUACUUCUUUUCUGAAUUUGCAUUCAGUCUGCUCUUUUUUGGGCUCCCUCCCUGUUUACAUUUUCUUCUUCUUCUAGUGGAUAUUCUGAAGCUUCUUUUGCCGGAUUCAUGGAAAGAAAUAUCAUACUUCAAGAGAUUAGAGAAGUUAGUUGGUGUUCCAGUCAUUAACGUUCAUAUAUGGUUAGUGAUAGUCAAGACCAAUACUUUUCAUCUUCUUCUGCCAUUUUGGUCUUAAGUGCUGUGAAUUUAUAUUGCAGGUUCGAUCGGAAACUGAAGAACACAUAUGAUCACUUACUCUUUAGCAGGUGAAUAACUUCUCUCAACAGUUUAGAGCCAUUUCUAUUAGUUUAAGUCAUCCGUUAAUACUUAAGACGCCUUUAAUCAAGCAAGAAAAUUAUAAAGAUUAGUCUUGAACCACCAUAUAAAUGAAUCAGCAACAGUGAAGGCUUGUUCUUGGUUAAUUUCAACAGUCUUGUCUUCUUGUUUUGUUUUGCAGAAGUAACCUUCUGAGUGUGUAUGCAGACAUGUCGUUAACUUGCAAGGUAAAGAAUCGGGUCUUGCCGAGUUAAGCUGUGUGUUUCUCUUACUUGAUAGUUUUCUUCUCAUUUUCUUAACGAUGUAGGAAUAUUACGAUCCAAACCGAUCAAUGCUGGAGCUAGUGUUUGCACCUGCAGAGGAAUGGAUAUCACGGACCGACUCUGACAUUAUAGAUGCAACCAUGAAAGAGCUCGAGAAACUCUUCCCUGACGAAAUCGCUGCUGACCAAAGCAAAGCUAAAAUUCUCAAGUACCAUGUCGUCAAAACUCCAAGGUUAGACAAGUUUCAUACCAAACCCCCAAAUGUCUCAUUUUAUUUAGUUUCAAAUGGAUACAAUCUCUCUCCUUCGCUCAGGUCUGUGUACAAGACCAUCCCAGACUGUGAACCAUGUCGUCCUCUACAGAGAUCUCCUAUUCAAGGCUUUUACUUAGCUGGAGACUACACUAAACAGAAGUACUUAGCUUCCAUGGAAGGCGCCGUUCUCUCUGGCAAAUUCUGCUCACAGUCUAUUGUGCAGGUAAAUAACACACUAACUUUGCUCAUUCAAAAGCAUAUAUGUACAUGUAUUUGUUAACCAGUCACCCUGAAUUGUUAAAUGAACCGGUUUUUACCAAGUUCCGGUCUGUUGAUUAGAUCUAUGCAUUAAUCUGUUCCGGUUACAUAGAUAUAUUGAUUCAAGUUUGGGUACACUGAUUAAACAGGAUUAUGAGCUAUUGGCUGCGUCUGGACGGCGAAACUUGUCGGAGACAACUGUAUCAACAUGAGAAGAGGAAGCUUAAAGAUCAUUGAUUUCUGCUUGUAACCAUUAUUUUGUAACUUUUUGUGUACAAACCUCCUUUCAAGACAAAGUUAAGGUGUGGCAAACAAAAAAACCCAAUACAUAAUGUAAAAAUUUAAUAUAGGUGUUUAUUUAAGAAAACACAAUUAGUAUAGGAUAUAGAAAUUGCACUCUAAUCCCAUGAAAUGCAAACUGACGAUUUAAGAUGAAUUUGUAUUUUAGUUAAAAUAACUUAUAGACAUCAGGUGAAUUCAUAUUUUAUUACAUAUUUAACUUCAAAUAAAAUAGUUACAUAGUUUACACGGAAAAAAAAAAAAAUUCUAGUGUCCAAAUCCAUUUAUAAUUUCUACCACAUUGCUAGGACAAUCUGCAUUGAAACCUUAGGAUGCUUCUUUUAUCUAGCAAAUUAUAUUAAGAUCUAAAGUGAGUGCUCAUGAUAAAAACAUAACUUCAAAGAUUACAGGGAACAAAGUUAGUGAGGUUGGAAAUCAUUCUAGAGACUGUCCACAUUUGGGAGACAAAGAACAUUAUAUCAAAGUAGAAGAGAACUAAAAAACAGAAAGAACAAUGGAAUUCAAAAGAUAUUUAAGAUCUAAAUCCGAGCCAUAGGCCAAGACACACAGUACUAGUAAUUUGAAGAACAAAUUAGCGCCAGAAAUGGGAUGAACAAGAGCUGCAAGAAGGAACCAAAUCAAAGGAAAAAUUUGCUCGAACUCAACCAAGAACCGUUCCAGUUUGAAUAAAAGAAAUGGCCUAUAGCAAGAGAAUCCAGAGACUGCACCACCGAGACCAAACAAGAGAACCACCUCACCAAGAAAGCAAGUCACGAGGAAGAAGUGAACUCUAACUGAGAAAAAGCGCCAAAGAGGACCCUAAUUCUUACAUGCGGAUACAACGAUCCUGUCUAAGCCAUUUACCGACAAAAGACCAAACGCCUCCUCCCAAGAUAGAACUGAGAGACUUGACCACUUUGAGCUAGUAGAUGCCACCACAACAAUAAACAUUUAAGCGACAAACUCCAUAACAAAACAUAACAAUCACGGAGCAAAAUAAGACAAGAAGGCAAAGUAGCACAACAUAUCUUAAAGUCUAAAAAGGGGUCUAUACAGAAAGAGAAGACCAGGACAUCAGAACAACCGGAUCACAUUAUCAAACCGCAUACCAUCGGUUGCAACAAGUCCUAAGCGGAUCUAACCUUAGCCAAGACAAGAACAUUGAACAUCCCAAACCUUAAAAAAGACCAGAAAAAAACUAACCAACCGGCCAACAAACCCAAAGCCAACACCAACAAAGCUAGAGAUCCGAGGGCAAAAGCAACGCUACAGAUAAAAAAAAAAAAGAGAAAACCAUUAAUUAAACCAACCGGCUUUAUACGUGCAUGACCGGCUUGUAUCAUGGAUCAAACCAACCGACCGACUACCUGUGGGUAACUUGCCCAAUAGGGAAACUGAAAUCAGUGAAACCAAAAGAGGACAUUUCACUCGAUCGACUAAUUAGCUAUUUAGAACACACUUCAGUCAAGGCAAAUUCAUUUUGGGUCAUGAUGUUUUGAAAGAUAGUCGAAUCAGCCACAUUUUCAAUCAUAUUGAUCCAGUUCGGCCACCCGAUUUCCAACCAUCGACCACACUGUGUUUAGUGGACCAACAAGCAAAGGAGUCUUGCCAAAGCUGAUUUAUCAGACCAACGCACAUUUAGGGGUGUCAAUUAGUUGGGCCACCCAUGGGCUAACCCAUUCCAAACAAACAUGGGUGGGUGAUGGUCAUACCCAAAUAAUUAAUGGUCCAAUUGGGUUAAAGACCCACUUUGUCUAUGGGUUAACUGGUCCAAACCAAAUGGGUGUUGGGCUGGCCCAAAAACUUAAUUUCUAGGGUUUAGAGAAUUUGAGAAAAAAUCAAUCAGAAAUAAUUUUUUCCGAUUCUUUUCUUCUCUCUCGCGAUUCUUUCUGCAACCAACGAUUUUCUCCUCCCAGAUUUCUCUUCGUCUACUGUUCUUGUGUUCAUCAAUCCAUACGAUUCUCUCUUCCCUCCCAUCGAUUCCCUUCUUCAUUUCUCUACAAUUUCAGGUAUGAUUCGAUUUUAGCUCUGAUCUCGCGAUUUCUCUACUUUCUGUGUUGUGGGUGUUGUGGGUUUUGUGGAUGAUAAUCUCGUUUCCAUUGUUUCCAUUGUUUACUCUAGUUCUGAUGAUGAUGAUGAAUCGUUUAGAAUAUUGUUUUGUUUUGGGUUCAGAAACGAUGCACACUUGAGAUUUGGUUUUGGGUUGACGUGUAUUGUAUUUCUCUUUAAAUGCAGGUUUCGUUUCUGCUCGGAGUCAUCCCUGUCUUCAUAGCAUGGAUAUACUCAGAGUUUCUGGAGUACAAGAGGUCUUCAUUGCACUCUAAAGUGUAUGUAUUUGGGGAAUAUUCUUUGAAUUGUGUACUUAUUUAUACAGCUCUCUUGUUAUGUGUGUAACUUGACAAUUAUUCUUUACCUGUUACUUGCAGUCAUUCAGAUAAUAAUUUGGUUAUGGCCUUUUAACUUUGCUUUGUGAUUCUUUGCUGGUUGUUUGUGUAGGUUAUUGAGUUAGACUGUAGCAAAGCAAUACUCUGCUCGGCAAAGGAUACCUCCACCUCCUGAAACUGCAGAAAAACCCUUCAGAGCCUUAAUCUUUGACAGGUAUCUACUAGCUUUAGGAACAAAACUCAGAGAAGAAUCAAGCUUUGGUGAUCUUUGUCAUGUUCUCUGGUAGAUUUAAUAUGUAUUUGCUUGUGUGUGGGAUAUUUUGGGAAAUGAAUCAGGAGGUGGAAUGGGAAAUAAUUUGAGAAUUUUGAUAAAAAUUUUGAUAAAAAUUUCAAAAGCCUGUGCGGGUAACAUUUUGAUAAAAAUGAGGACCAUUGCUUGCUCCACUACAGACUUUGUAUUCCAAAUCUAUAAAGUAUGUAUAGGUGUGGGAAAUCACCUUGUAACCAGUCGUUUUGAUUACCAUAUAUAGGCCACUAUUUGUUAUUCAUUUUAAGUGAUUAUGUUUUCUAAUUCCAAAAAACUUACUAUCAGAUCAGAGAUGGUCCUGAGCAUAAUCAAAGUGAAACAUUGGCAUAAAACCCUCAAAUUUUUUAAAAAAAAUUAUGGAAAAAAAUUAUUUCUCUGAGUUGUGUCUUGCUCUUAAAGACUGCAUUAAUCUCUGAGCUGUCUACUACCUACUAAUGUUCAAGCUUUAGUGUGCACAAGGAACUGGUUAAAAGGAUUUCCUGAAAUUGGUAAGUGUUGGUUAUAAUUUAUUCAUAUAAUAAAUUGCUUCAGAAUCUUCAUGGGAUUAUUUUUUUGGUAGGUGAUGAGUCUGUUGAAAAGAUAGAAGAGGAGAAAGAAGAAGAGGAGAAAGAGAAGGAGAAAGAAGAAGAGAGUGGAGAAUCUAUAGACUUGAAUUGAGGUAUUGAUCUUGUACUUUUGGAUAAGAUAUUGAAAUGUUCUAGCUAUUGAUCAGUCUUGCAAGUAACUCAUUUGAGUUUGUGGGUUUAGUAUUGAGUUAGUAUAGAAAGGAACUUGACUAACUCACACUGAUCUUGUUAUCUUUGUUCACACUGAGCUUUUAUUCUUUUGCUUGUGACAAGCCAAUUUAGUGAGUGCAAGACAGGUAUUAGAGCAAGAAAGUCAACAAUAUUUGGGGAUCAAUAUGUGCAUUUCAACAUCAGCAUCCCUACGCAAGUCUCCAUACAACACAGUUAUUUUGCUUGAAAUGUUAAUGCUUGUGUUGAUGUCUCUGCCCUUACAUACAAGUUAUGAGAAUCAUUGAAUAACUCCAAGUUGCUAUCUUUUUUCCUUCUUGCAGGCUGAAGACAAGUAAAGAAGCUGGAAGCUGGAGCAAAGUGAAUCAUGAUAUCAGAGUUAUAACUUUUUUUUUACAUAAAACAGAGAGUUAUGAAAAACUGAAGUCUAUUGAAUUUAAUUUACAUCACAUUUGUAUUCAGAAAUUUUCAAUGACAUUAAAAUUGAGUUUAGAUUGAGUUUAUACAAAUUUUCUAUAAUUAUUAUUUUCUAUAAGUAUAUAAGUUUGUAAAUUGAGUUUACAAUAAUUGAUUAUGAACAAAAUUGAGCUAAUUGUUAAAAAGAAUAAUAAUGGGUGGUCUUGGGUUAUUUCCAAUGGGUAUGGGCUAACUUGGGUGUGGGUGUUUUUGGGUAUGGGUAUUAAAUGGGUGUGGGUGUUUUUGGGUAUGGGUGUUAAAUGGCCCAACUGUACACACCCAAAUGGGUGUGGACCGCCCAACUUGACAUCCCUACGCACAUUUAUGGAAGGUUGAGCUUUAAUAUUUUCAAGAGAUCCACAAAACAACUUAUUUGGACGGACCAGAAAAGGAUCCAAGCAAAGUCACUUUGUUUUUGUCGAAGCUAAGAUUCGACCAAGCCUUUAAUCAAAAGAUCAAGAGAGGUCAAGAAAUAGUCAAGGUCGUGGCUAUACCAAAAAUAAUUCAAGGAAGAGAUUAUUUCUAGUCAAAAGUCUUAGUCCACUUUUCUGUUUUCAAAAUUAUCUAGUUUUCCACAUUCUUUUUGUUUUAUCAUAAUAUGUUAGUGAAUAGUGAGUCAUAUCCUUCAAUUAAACUAUUGAUCAUUAAGUGUUCAUAUCUCGAAGAUCUAGUCAAUUAGAAGCAUUCUGAAACCUUUGUGCGACUACUCAUUCCAUAAUCGUUGGUGUUCGUAAUCCAUCGACCAAAAGGCCUAUCCAAAUCGCCGUCAACAAAGUGCAUUCCUUAGACCGGAUGCUAUCAAGAAGAAAGCUAGGGUUUUUCAAAAUGUUCUUUUUUUUUUUUGAAACAUUUCAAAAUGUUCUAUAGACAUUCCUUUAGGAUGCUUCAUUUUGUCCAAAAUACAUGGCAAUAAACUAAAUAAAUAUUAUUCAUUUUAUGUAACAACAUUUUUAGAGGAAUGUGAGUCUCCUUCAAUAAUUUCUGAAAUAUCAUUUUUAUAAUUAAUGAUGUUAGAACACUUUUUAAAUAACACCUAUAUUAAUUUCUGAAACCCUCCUUCAGUGGUUAGCUUGCUGAUUCAAAAUUAUUAGCUAAAGCUUAAAGAUCAUUGCUUGUAAGCAUUAUUUAUAACAUUUUGUGUAAAACAUAUCAUUGCAGCAAAGCCAAAAUUGACGCUACUCUCUACAGAAAAUGGAUCUCCACAGAUUUGACAUAUCUCAUUUUCUGUCAUUAUUGUAACCUUGAAAAGUAAUCAUCACUGUCGACCUUUUGUAAUCAAAGUGAAAUAUCAUUUUGUUUUCUCUUCUAUAAUUUUUUUUAUAGUCUCGGUACAAAAUGCAUAAGGUGAAUCUUUUGAUUACGACAAAAAGAAAAUAUUUAUGUUCCAGAGAAAAAAAAGAGAGAUAGUUAAAAAAAUGAAGAGAUGAAAUAUUCCAAACCGUUUGAACAAAAAAGAAAAAGAAAUAUUCCAAACCGAAAAGUAUCUCCUCCUUUGAACUUUUUUAAUACUAGGCGGUACUUCGGGUAGGGUCUAAAAAGUCUCUUGAAAGUCACGGGGAGCAGCGAAGUGGAAUUGUUUUUGGCUCUGGGGUAUUGAAGACAGCAGGUGAUAAAAGUACAAGACACCAAAGUAACUCUGCACUAUGUAUAUACAAAUGGGUAACAUGUUGAUUCUUUUUUUUUUAACAAAGUUUCUAAGGUUUUCCAAUUAUAUAUGAUUACCAUCUAAAUGAAAAAUAAUACCUACAAAUUAAGAUUAUUUCAAAAUAUUCUGGCAUUUGUUUUUACUUUUUAUAGGGAAGGAGUCUUAGAGCAUGAGCAUUGGUGAACCCCCUUUGGUGUUCACAUGAUUUUUUUAAUAUUUUUUGUGGGUCCAUGAAUAGUUAUGAACUUGUAUUUGUCUUUUUCUACAUUGGUGAACCUGAAGAAAGAGUUCAUAAGACUAAAAUAAUAAUAUUUUUUUUUUUUUGUAAAUUCAAAUUAUUCAGAAUACAUAAAUAAAAUAUUAAAAAUAUUAUUAAAUUUGUGAAAACUAUUUAUUCAAUACAGUAAAAGAGUAGAUUACAUAAAUUGAGAAAUUGAAAAAUAUACAAAGCUUAUUCAUCUUCAUCACCAAACGGUUGCCAAAUAUUUUCCAUUAAAUCAGCUUUCAAACGAGCAUGCUUCUCUUGAUCUCGAACUUCUCUGCGCAUGCCUAACAUAUCACCAGCUUGAAUACUUUCUCUGCUUGUCACCUUUGAACUUCUGCUUGACUCUCCUGAUUCGAACUCAGAAGUAUUUAUUUGAGCGUAUCCGUGUCGUUCGUUCUCUACUAUCAUAUUGUGCAAUAUGACACAAGUUCUCAUUAUCUUACCUAUCUUUUCCUUGUCCCAUUGUAGAGCUGGGUUUUUAACAAUUGCAAACCUCGACUGUAAUACUCCAAAAGCCCGUUCGACAUCUUUUCUGGCGGAUUCUUGCUUUUGUGCAAAUUUCUCGGCUUUAGGACCUUGAGGAAGUGGGAUGGAUUGGAUAAAUGUUGACCAGUUUGGAUAAAUUCCGUCAGUAAGAUAGUAGGCCAUACGAUAAGUGUGGUUGUUGACCUUGAACUUAACUUUAGGCGCUCGACCAUGUAAGAUGUCAUCAAAAACAGGUGACCGAUCAAGAACAUUGAUAUCGUUGAGUGUACCUGGUAAGCCGAAAAAAGCGUGCCAUAUCCAAAGAUCUUGUGAUGCCACGGCUUCUAAGACAAUUGUCGGCUUUCCUGAACCCCGUGUGAACUGACCUUUCCAAGCCGUUGGGCAGUUUUUCCACUCCCAAUGCAUACAGUCGAUGCUGCCUAUCAUUCCCGGAAACCCCCGUACCUCUCCAACAUCGAGUAAUCGUUGAAGAUCCUCGGCUGUAGGGCUUCGUAGAUAUUCAUCUCCAAACAAUAGUAUUAUUGCAUCAGUGAAAUUUGCCAAACAUAAACGUGUUGUACUGUCACCAAGUCGGAGAUAUUCGUCAUAUGUAUCUCCCGAUUGACCAUAUGCCAGCAUACGUAUAGCUGCCGUACACUUUUGAAGUGGAGAUAGUCCGUUCCUUCCGCAAGCACUUCGUCUUUGCUGAAAGUAUGGAACUUCAUUACUUAUACGUUCCACAAUGCAAAGGAACAAUGAUUUGUUCAUUCGAAAAUGCCUCCUAAACAUUUCCGGUGGGUAUGUAGGAUUAUCAUUGAAAUAAUCGUUCCAUAGCUGAUUGCGUCCUUGUUCCCGAGCUCUUUCGAUAUAAGCCCGUCUUUUGGACUUGUUGGGGUGACCAUGAAUCACUGAGUUGAUGUAAUUAUCAACAACUUGGUCGACCAUUUCUUCUAAAGCUUCAUCAACUUCAUCACUUGAUGAGGAAGACAUUGGUGGGUUUUUUUUUUCCUAAAAAAGAAAAGGAGAUUUGUAACUACAAUUUCAUUAAUUGUACAUAUUUCUAUAAUUCUAUUAUAUGAUCUUCUAUCAAAAUCUUUUUUUUUUUGCAUUUUUCUAUCAUAUUUUUAAUUGUACAUUUCUAUAAUUCUUUCUAAUUUUCAUAAACCAUAUUUUCUUACCAAUCUUUUUUUUUACUUCUUCCAUAUUUUAUUUUAACUAUAAUCUCUUUCUAAUUUUCAUAAUCCAUUUUUCCUUAACAAUUAAUUUUUUUUUACUUCUUACCUUGAUGACUUUUUCUUGUAUGUUGUUUGUUGUUGAAGGUAGUUGCUCUUGUUUGUUGUUGAAGGUAGUUGCUCUUGUAUGUUGUUUGUUGGUCACGGACUUCACUCGAUCAAGAACAUCCUAGUUGAAUUUAGUUGUUGUAGUUUGUUGUAUGUUGUUGAAUGUUCGUUUUGUAGUGAGAAAAGAAACAAAAACAAGACAAACAAGUGCAAGAGAAACAAGAGCAAGAGAAGAAAUGGAAGAUAACUUUGAUUAAAAAGCAGAGAGUAGAGACUUCAUUUAUAUAGAGAGACAUAGAGUUAUAACAUAGUACACCCGUGAACUGGUUUAGUACAUCCGUGAAUCAAGUUCAGAGUUACAACAAAAGCAUAAUACAUAGAGAGACAUAGUACAUGAGUGACCUGCAGUGUAGAAAGAAACAAAACCUACACUUUCCCGUGAGUAAACCGCAAACAAACAAAGGUAACGACCACUAAGAUUGACCUGCAACAACCUAAACUUCCAACCCGUGACCUGCAACACUGUCAUCUCCAACCCGUGACCUACAAAAGAAAAGAUAACAUAAUCAGUAGAGCAAAGCAAGGAAAUACACAUCAACUACUCAAGCAAAGCAAGGAAAUACACACAAUAGACAUCAAAGCAUUUCAGAGAUGAGUUUAUUCUUGAGAGCCACUUCAUUAUCAGAAAGUGUGUCUAUGUUUUUGGCUAGCAAACGAUCAAGGAUCUUUUGUCUGGAAAUGGUGUUUUUCUCAGCUAGGAUGCUAUGUAUAUGAUCAUAAGCUGCUUCAUUUGGCUUCUUGCGUUUAGCAGCUUUGCUAGCCUUAACACCAGGAGGUCUAACCUCUUCCUCCUCCUCAGGCACCGCCUCCGCACCAGCUUCCUUCCUUUUCUCCUUCGGCUGAGAGUGUGACCUCCACUUCUGAUCAAACCGAAGUUCCCUCCAGCAAUGUUCAAGCGUGAACUUGAGAUUGUAGUCAUUGAAAUAGAUGUCAUGCGCAGUCUUCAUGACAUCAUUUUCACUUUGCCCACUCGCUUGCUCCUUCAGAGCGGUUUCAUGGGAACCCACAAACCUGCAGACCUCUGCAUUCACCCUUCCCCACCUCUGCUUACAUUGACCCCACUCUCGAGGAAGGGAGCCAAUGAGCUGAGGACUAGAAUUGAAAUACGCCUCAAUUCUCUUCCAAAAAGCCCCUAACUUCUGUUCAUUACUAACUAUCGGAUCUUUGCUGGUGUUUAACCAAGCACUGAUCAGUACAAGGUCUUCUUUGGUUUACCACUUUCUCCUUUCCACUGGUUUAACUAACCCGGGUGAGUUAACAGCAGCCUCAGCAGAGUCAACGUCUAUUGGACUACAGCUCUGCGAAGCUAAUAGGUUAACAAACCCGGGAGCGUGAAGGGAAAAAGGGUCCAUGUUUGAGGGUUUCGUGUUUUUGUUUUGGUUUGAGGGUUUCGUGUUUUUGUUUUGGUUUGAGGGUUUCGUGUUUUUGUUUUGGUUUGGUGGAGUUACUAUGUUUUUAAACAAGUUUUUACGUGUGAAAAGAGAUAAAAUUUAACUAACUAUACCAACCAAAAUUCAUUACAGAACUACUACAUAGUAAUGAGCAGUCAAUAGACAUCAAAUCAGGCGAAAAAAUAGCAAGUUUUACGUUUCAAAAGAGAGAAAAUUAAACUAUCUCUACCAACCUAAGUACAAUUCAACAUUAAUCACAGCAACCAACCAACCAACAAUCAAUGUGUCGAUUUUAUAAUAUUUACUUGUACUUCUAGUUCUCGUACUAGUUUAGUUUAUGUCUAGUUCUAGUUCUACAAAUCGUUAUACUUUUGUUCUACUUCUAGUCCUACGUCUACUUCAAUCCAGAGAUAACAAUGACCAUAGAUAUAGUUUAGCUGACUCUAACCUUUCAUUGUCAAUCGAAGCAGACCUUCUCGAGGGAAUGGACCUGCACAGUGAGGUCAUAGACCGCCUCAUUGAGUGAAUUAACCUGUUCCUGGACAUGGCAAAAGUAUAGGACAUUUGUGUUAGUAACUGUAUUACAAAUACAAGGAAAAAAAAUUUACAGCGAUGAAAGAGCUAAAAAUGUUUGACUAACCUCAAGUCUCUCAAACUGUUUACUAAGAUUGGACACCUCCAGCAUCACCUGCUCAGCCUCUUCCACCCGUUUAGUUAGCCUCUCGAGCUCCUCCUGCACACCUAUCACCCAAGGCUGACGAUAAUGGAGCCCAUCAGCCUUGGUUAUAACAUCAAGAAUGAUCAGAUAUACAACUUACAAUAUAGAACAUAAAGAAUGAUCAGAUUAUGAUAUACAACUUAAACUGAAGUUUAACAGAGGAGACUUUACCUCAUAGUUUCUGCAGGUGAAGAACCGCUUCCCAGGAAGAGUGUCGUAGUCCUCCUUCCCGCGCACCUCGUUAAUGAGUCUCCCACCACACGGACACCUUUUAGGAAUACCGUACUCAGAAUCCGCCACGAAACUUAACAUGUUGAUGUGUUCGUGUUGCUUCUUUGAAUGUCUUCUAUCUUCUUCCGGAUCCAUCUGUCAAAUAAAUCAAGAUUUUGUCAAAUAAUUACUCGUAAACCACAAUCACGAUCUACAACCCUAAACCCAUCACUCGAUUUAACCCAUAAAACGAAACCCAUCACUCAAUUUAUAAACCCAUCACUCACCCAUAAAACGAAACCCUAAUUGGAUUUCAAAUCUCAGAAAAAAGAACCCUAAAUCAAAAAACAAUCACGAUCUACAACCCUUGAUCGAACCCCAUAUAUCGAUUUAGAUCCCUUACUCGAAACCCCCAAUUUUUUUUCGAAAUCGAAUAAUUGCUUCCCACCCCAAAUUCGACCCAAUAAAGCUAUAAACCUACAAGGUACUCACCUACGCUCGUGGAUAGAAGAGCUCGUCGUCGAUUACGUGGAGAAAAUCGCCGGGAAUCGUCGUCGCACGAAAAGUCGCCUCUCACGGUGAAACCCUAGUUUUUUCAGAGAAAGGGGAAAAUGAGAAGAAACACGACGUGGCCCGACUUUCCUCCUCCUCAACGCGGAACACUUGACCAACCAGCGUACGCCGCGUGGCAAAAUCCGCCCUUUACGGGUUCAUGCGCAAGGCCCGGUUCAUCAAACUAAUCGCAUUUUUCUUUUUUUUUAAAUCCACCGGGCCUAAGAUUUCGAGCCCACGAACCUGUUAUAAACCGCUAAUGCGGAUGGUUUUAGCAUCUACAAAGAAAAAAAGAAUCAUUGAGUGGAUCGAUAUCCCACAUAGAAGGACUCAUCAAUAUCCGAACAUUAUGAGAUGGAUCGAUCGAAUCCAGUUUCUGGAUCUUAACAAAACCUAUUAUAUUUUUUUUUAAUUCUGGAUUUUGUAAAGUGAGAUGCUAACGAUCAGUUGGUAACUAACAAAUGUCACGAAACUGAUGAUAAUGAUUUAAGGAUUUGUUGAUUGUGCGAAUUAGUAAUGAGCCAAUGAUACUUGCCAUUUUAAAAAAAGCUCCAUAAAUAUGGGCCCACUCACCGAUCAGGCGUUUGGUUAUUUAUCGUGAGUGGGCUUUUGCUUUGCUUCAUCGUUUUCCAAAACUUUUAACUCACAACAACAAAAGAAAGAAAGGCAAAACUCGUAACUUCUCCUCUGUUAAAACCUAAAACUUUGGGUUCUUUUCCCAAUUUUAGAUCUUUCAAUGUCAGUAGCAUUCUCGGGUUUUAGUUGAUUUUUGUUCAUCUCUUACUUUGUUGUCUCUUGUAAUAUAUGCUUCUCAGAUUUUGAUUCCCAGUGCAUCAAAAAGUAUUUCUUUUUUUGUUUCCUUUAGAUAAUUUUUGGGUUUAUUUUUGUAACUUUCUAACAAAAUUUGAUUUUUUUUUUUUUGCAAUAAUGGCUUCUUCUUUUUGUCUUUUUAUGUCUAUAUGAUUAAUGGGCUUUCUGAUUCUCUUUUUUUCAAGUUAUUUAAUCAAAUUCUUUUUAGAGGUUUAGAGUAUAAGGACACUGAAGAUCUCUUUGUAAAAAAAAAACUAUUUUACAGGGGGUAAGAGCAAUGGGGCUCAUCAUGUCUGCACUAAAUGUGGUUGGAACUAUCCAAAUCCACAUCCUAGUGCUAAAAACCGGCGUUCACACAAGAAAAUUUGUGGAACCAUCAAGGGAUUUGAGAUCCUUGGUUCCGAAAUGCCCAAACAGAAUCUUGAUUUGCAGGAAGAUCCUUGCUUGGAUGAUGAGCAAAAACUCCCAAGUAAGAACGUCUGCGAUCUGGAUGAAUAUGUAGAAAAAAGACUUCAUAUGUUUCUUCCUUGAUGCUAAUGUUUUAUUUAUGUGUAAUGAGCUUAGGUAUUCCAAGAGUUGUGGAGAAAGCUGAUGAUGAGAGGAUUGGGGAAGAGGAUGUUUUUGCAGAUGCUGUUUCUGAAUUUUCAAGAUCUGACUCUUUUAAGGAAAAGGAAGAGACAGCAACAAAUUGUAUCGCUAAGAAUCCUGGUGAGUUUACUUUCUUUGAUAAAAAACAGUUCAGGGAUGAUGUUACUUUCUGAUCCUUGGUUGUAUCUAUGCUAUGCUGCUUUAAUGUGUUUGGUAGGGGUUCUGUUCAUCAAGAUUCAUUUUAAUAAUUUUAUGAAUUACCAAACCUCUAGAUUAUCUUAUUGUCCAGGUCAAUUCAGUUAUCUGUUUGUAACAUUUCUUGGUUUUAUUCCCAUUUUGGGCUUUCAUGUUCAGGUGAAACUCAGCCGGGCAACAAAAGCCCUGAAGUGGUUCAAGAGAGCUGUGAAGUUCCACCUGUGGAAGUCCUUGACAACUUCCCAAAAUCUGUUGAAGCAGCUUCAGGGAAUCAACAAGGGGGAGAACCUUUUAUUGAAGGACACUCCAUGCCAUUUGUAACUCUGAAUGAUUCAUCACAGGGAGCUCAGGUCAUCGAAGGUGGUGGUGAUACCAUAUCCAAUGUUGGGUUAGAGACAGAUUGCAAAGAAGAUUUACCUGAUGAGUCUGAAUCUAAGUUAGCAUCUGCAUUAGGAAAGAGAAAAGAUACUUUUGAUUCAUCAUGGAACGAUGAAGUGAUUUACUCGGACUUGGAGGGUCCGCAUGGAUUUGCUUUUGAAGAAAUGAGUAUGAUUCAUCCUGGUGAAGCUGAGUAUACCGUAGUCAGUGAUGAUAAUGUUCCGGUCAAUACUUCUUCUGUAGGAACCAAUGCAGACCAAGUUAUCAGCACCAAACAAUCUUCUUGUGAUGAUAUACCUUUUACAGAAAAUGCUGACGUCUCUCUGGAUGGAACCAAACAUGAAGAAGUUGAAUCGAAUCUUCCCGAAACACCUAAGGCAGAGAACGUAGGCAUAAGUAUUGGCACUGAAGUUUCUUCAUCAGACAAGCUUCUGUUGGAAGACAAAGCUGAACCUCAAGGCCAAACAGCUGUGGAAAUUCCCAGUGGAGACAACUUGGUAAUAGCUAAGGCUGGCCCUGAAGAUAUCAUAAUGAAAGCCGAAGAGGGUGAAUCAUCAUCUUUUGGUGUUUCCCAAGAAACUGUUGAAUCAGAAAUAGCCUCCCUACCUGAAGUAGUUCCUAUAGUUGCUGACUCGAAUGCUGAUAUGAGCCGUUCAGAUCUCACUGGUCAUGAGAGUAAACUUAUUCAGGCAAAUCUUGUAACUGAGGAGAACAGCCCAAAGAGCAAGCUGAUCUCUGAAUCCUCUUGUGCUGUUCAACAUUAUGUUUCUGUUGCAAUGGAGGGAGACGAUCAGAAGAAAAGUGCACCAGAAACAUCUAUAGACUCCAUUCUAGAAAUUGGUGCUGAAACCUGUGAUGAAGCUCGCAUAGAACAGUUAGUGGAGGAAAGCAGUUUCAUAAGAGUAGCUGAUCCUUUAAGCAAUUUUGCAACUGAUGAAUCUGCUCAAACAGCUAAUAAUCAGAAGUUAGUGGAAAGCGGAAGGACGGAAUUCAAUAGAGUAGUUGGUGGGUUGGGGGUUAUUCAAGCAAAUGAGAUUGACAGUGAUGUACUUAAAGCGCACAACUUGUAUGCUGAGGUCCCUGUGACAAUUGAGUCAAAUGACCUUCGAGAUUUCGGGAGACUGCAGAAUCUUUCAGAAGCACACAUUAGAUCUCUGGUUUCAAGUCCGCUUGUCACUAGAAAUAAUAACACUUCCAAUGCGUUUGCGUCUACUUCAGGUAUGUCAGCUAUUUCACCUUUAUUGACUAAUACUCACUCAAAAAGAGAUGCUUAUGUAUAGUUGUGAUAGCCACGCCGAUGUUUGAUGGAACAGGACUUAGUGAAAACGGAUCACAGUCAUCAUCACUUGCUGUUGCUCUGUCGGAAAACCAAGAGAUCACUAUGGAGAAGACAGCAAAGGACCAGCACGUCCCGCUGAAGAACCUUCUGAGUGAAGCAAGAUCACCAAGGCUUGCAGCAGCAGCAGAGGCAAAGAGUAACAUACCGAGAGUGAGUUCGAUAUUAUUGGACCAAGAGACUUCUCCUGAAGAGGGAGGUCGCUGGCCAGAGAGAAGAGAAGUGAGUGAGGAGUGGAAGUCGCCAGCAAAGUAUCCAGUGGAGUUGAAGAGAGAGGAGAGGAAAGUGAAAGGAAGACCCUUUUGGGUCCCAUUUGUUUGCUGUUCCUCUGUUAAGUAGUAGAAGGCUCUAUCUGUUGUGUAACUCUUUAAGUAGAAGACUUUUGACUUUUAUAAAGAAAAGCUACAAGUUUGGUUAUUGUAGGAGCUUUCGUUACUUAUGAUUCACACUUUUUUCUUUCGUUUGGACGUUUAGAUUUAAACUUUGUGUUUGAUUAGAUGUUCCAUGUUUGAAUCUUAAAAUACUAAGGGCUAGAAAAUAUUUGUGGAUUGGAAUAACGUAUGCACCGCAAAAACAUAUAACACAGAAACGCAAAGUCUACCAUUAAUCCAAACAAGAUCAACUAAUUGAGCUGUUUGAGUCUGAUCAAUUCCCUACCGAUAUGGAAAACUGAUGAGAGAUCAAACAAGACCCUUCAUUUGUUACAUACAUCAGUGUGAAACACAUUAAAAAGUAACUAAGACAAAGAAGUUACUGAAAAUAAACCAUAUACUGUUUUGUUGUUAUCUUCAAGACUGCAGAAAUUGAGUGAGAAAAUCAGAGAAGUUGGUGUCUUCUUCAUUCAAAGCAGCAGAGGCAUCAUCAUCACAAGCCACAGAAUUCAAUGCAGAACUAUUAGUCUCUUGAAUACUGUUAGCCUCCAUAAACCCAUCAGCAGAAGCUACGCAGUUCAUUGUAGAGUCCAAAAGCGAAUCACCAACGAAUACUGAACUGGUGUCCAAGUCAAAGCCACUGAGUUGACGGAUAUCAAUCAAGUUCAUCUCUCCAGUUGAAUAGGUAAUGUUGUCUCUGGAGCGCCACAAAUAUCGGAUGGGAGAAUGAGAGGUUGAUCCAAGGGCUCUGUCAUCUUCAUCGCCUCGUUAUUGUCAGAAUCGAAAUCAAAAUCUAAAUCCAGAUCAAUUAGUUGAUCAAAAUCAAUCUCCUCCAAGGAGUUAUUGUUGUUGUUGUGUGGGAGACCAAAACUAUCACAAGUAGACAUGAUCUGAUCAAGCUCCUCAUCUCUCAUAACAUUAUUGUUGUUGUAAUCUAGGGUUUUGUCACUGGAACCGGACGGGAGAACUAGGGUUUGUUGCACCGUGGGUUCUGUUUUCUGCAUUGUCUCUUCGUUGUUCUUCUUCUGUUUCUUCAGAGGAGGCUCUGCCUCUGCGUCUUGAGCACGCAACUCAUUGAUUUUUGACAACAACCUAGACAUGGAGUUGAUGGCAUGGGACAGUUCUUGGGGAUUCUUAGAUUUGAGAAGAGAAUCGUCCUCCAACCACUGAGGCAACCCUAACUCUUUUCUUGCGAGACAAAUCCCAAGGUCCUCCUCGUGAUCAUCUAUUUCUUCUCGGACAGCAGGUCUCUCUCCCGUGAGAAAAGCGUUAACGAUGGAGUCAACCGAAGAGUGACCGAAGGAGAAGAAGCUUACGUUGGAGUUGGCAGAAGGAGGUGUUGCCAACACGGCGAUCUGUGCGCCGGUGAGAAGACAGAGCUGUGAGACUUUGCUAUGGAGACCGAAGCUUCGUUUCGUGAAAGUCGUUGCCGCAGAUUCGCGUUUCGUGAUCUUCUCCAUCGUAGCUUUCCUCUUUGUGCCUUUCACCAUUCUCGUUCGUGAAAAAAUAGACUCAGCAAAGUGAUUUUUUUGUUUUGUUUAGCGUGUGGACAAAGCAAAGUGAUCGAUGGACUCUGAUCUCUCUCUCAGUAUAUAUAUAAGUCAACAAAUUAGUGAUGGAUUGGAUUCUACGUAAACGGUAAUAAAAUAAGAAAACCUCUUAACCGGUUUUGUAAUAUCUUAAAUCGAACUCAACCGUAAACCGUAUAGGUCAAAGUGGUGCCGUUUUUCAAUCAAGAGAACGGAGCAAUUUGUCUACUCACACACACACUAGUUUGUUGCUAUUCUUUACGUCACAUAGAAUACAAGACCACCUGAACUCAAUAUGUUCAGACUACAAGUAGUGUUUCCAGGUUUCCCAAUUAGACCAACCUGCAAGCUUGUAAAUACCAAAAGGGAAUCAGAAUGGUUAGAAGUUACCUUGUUUAUGAGAAAAAAAAAACACUCGAGGUAACGGGAAUGCUGGAGCCUCCCUGAUGUCAGUUUCAUCUUAAUAUUUAAAGUUGCACAAACACAAAGAGUAUAAGAACUUCUAUUCUUAUUAUAUUUAGAAACUCUCUCAAAACUAAACCUUUCAAUGUGUUUCUCUUGAUGGAACAUCUCUCCAUGAGAACUCUUUAUAUAGGAAGAAGCUACAUCUUUUCCUAAGAGCAAAGCUACAUCUUUUCCUAAUAAUAAUAUGGAAACAUUCCUAAGCUCGAUAUGUUUUCAUUUUUCCUUAACCCAUCAAACUUCACUUUAAUGAGUUAACUUGCUCCUCAAGUUAAUUGAAAUUAUCCAACAUUCUCCCCCUUAAUUCCAACUUGAAUCUUAGGUAUGUUGAUCUUCUUAACUCCGAUGAACUUGCGCAUUGCUUCGAACUUGAUCCUUGCCAAUGGUUUAGUGAGUAUGUCUGCCUUCUGUUCCACUCCAGGUGCGUGCUUCACUUCGAUAAAGUCGAACUCCACACAUUCUCGAAUGAAAUGGUACUUCGAGAGUAUGUGUUUGCUUUUACCGUGAAACACCGGGUUCUUGGUGAGGGCUAUCGCUGACUUGUUGUCAAUCUUCAACACGACCUUCUUGUCUUCUUUGUUCAUGAUCUCGACCAUCAACUCCUUUAACCAAAUUGCUUGUUUUGCAGCUUCCGUAGCUGCCAUGAACUCCGCCUCACAUGAAGAGAGUGCCACUGUGGGUUGCUUGCACGAUGUCCACGUGAUCGGCGAUGUUCCUAGGUAGAACAUAAACCCUGUAGUGCUUCUUCCAUCAUCAACGUCUAUGUUAUGGCUGCUGUCACUGUAACCUGUAAUCUCCGUUGUUCCAUCCCGUUUGAAGAAGAGACCAUACUCUGUAGUGCCCUUUAUGUAUCGUAUUAGAUGCUUCACUGCUUCUCCAUGACUCUCUCUUGGACUCUGCAUAUAUCUGCUUAAUACACCAACCGAAAACGCCAAGUCCGGUCGUGUAUGAAGAAGAUACCUUAAGCAUCCUAUGAUGCUUCGAUACGAUGUUGCAUCAAUCUCAGGCUCCUCCUCUGCCUUUGAUACUUUCAAACUCGUGUGCAUCGGAACAUGAGUAUAGUUACAUGACUCCAUCUUCGUCUUGACAAGUAUACCUUGCGCGUAUCCUUCUUGUUUGAUGUGAAUGCCAUCAGCUCCUUGCGUUACUUCUAUACCAAGAUAGUAUGUAAGCUUCCCGAGGUCUGACAUCUCAAAUCUUCUUGACAUAUCAUCUUUGAAUUGCUUGAUAACGUUGAGUGAAGUCCCUGUUACAAACAAGUCAUCAACGUAUAUAGCUAUGAUCAGAAGCUCCCCCUUCUGUUUCUUUUGAUAUACCGCAGGUUCCUUGGUGCACUUCGUGAACUCCAUCUCCUUGAGAACAUGAUCGAGUUUGAUGUUCCAAGCUCUCGGAGCUUGACGCAAAUCGUAUAGUGCUUUGCUAAGUUUGUACACAUGAUCCUCCUUUCCUUUCUCCACAAAGCCUUCUGGUUGAGUAACGUAUACAUCCUCAUUUAAGUCUCCAUUCAGGAACGCAGUUUUCACAUCUAAGUGAUGGAUCUCCCAUCCAUUAGUUGCUGCUAACGCCAAGAGUAGUCGUAUGGUUUCUAUCCGAGCAACUGGUGCAAAUACUUCGUCGAAGUCUAUGCCUUGUUGUUGCACAUAACCUUUUGCAACUAGCCUUGCUUUGUAUUUGAUCACCGUUCCAUCUGCAUUCCUCUUGAUCUUAUAGAUCCACUUCAAACCUAUCGGUUUCACACCUGCCGGCUUCUUGACGAGCUUCCAGGUCUUGUUUUUGAUGAUAGAUUCGAUCUCUGCCUUCAUUGCAUCGAUCCAAGCUUGUAUUACUGCAGUUUCGAUGUAACUUUCUGGUUCAUCAUCGAUGGUCAGCAAGAGUCUGCCACCUUCAACUUCAGCAAGUAGGAUGUAAUCAUCGAACCGCUUUGGUUUUCUGAUGUUACGGCCAUAUCUUGAUGUUACAUGCGGGUCUUGGUUUGCAUCGUUGUUCUCUACUACUUGCUCUUGUUCAUCUGCGUCUACAGCUUCUUCUUCUUCAUUAUUGUUUUGCUCUUCGUGGUGUUGGUGAUCUUGAUGCUCAUCACCAUCUCCUUCUUCUGUAACAUCAAUAUGAGGAAGCUUGAAUGAUCCUGGUUCUUCGUCUACGUUUGUUGAUAGUGUGGACCAAUCCAAACUUUUCUUCUCGUCAAAGAUUACAUCUCUACUAACAACUAUCUUCUUCGCGACCGGAUCAUAGAGUCUGUAAGCUUUUGAGCCGGGCUCUGUGCCUAGGUUGAUCACCAUCCUUGAUCGAUCAUCCAGCUUCUUGAGAUGAGGACUGUUGAUUUUUGCAAAAGCUACACAUCCAAAGACCCUUAGAUGCUCAAUGUUCGGUUUCUUAACAUACAAGCUUUCGUAUGGAGUCUUGUCUUCCAAAGCCUUUGUAGCAAUGCGGUUUAUGAGAUACGUUGAAUGACGUACUGCUUCUCCCCAUAGCUGAUUAGGUAUCUUCAUAGCUUUCAUCAAACUUCUAGUCAUCUCCAUUAGUGUUCUAUUUCUUCUCUCAACCACACCGUUUUGUUGCGGUGUAUACGGUGCGGUGAGAUGUCUAGUUACACCGUUUUCUUCACAAAAACGAAUGAACUCAGAAGAUGUGAACUCUCCUCCUCUAUCGGUGCGAAAAGUCUUGAGUUGUAGCUUCGUUUGAUUCUCCACGUACUCCUUGAACUUUUUGAACCGAUCGAACGCUUCACUCUUCUCUCUUAGCAGCAUCGUCCACAUAUAUCUUGAGUAAUCAUCAAUUAAGACAAAUACAUAUCUAUUGUUUGCUGGUGUUGAUGGUGAUAUCGGACCGCACAAGUCACCAUGUACCAACUCCAAUGCGUGUGAUGCUCGAUACUUUGCUUUAGGCGGGAAAGACUUCCGAGUUUGCUUCCCAACUAAGCAGGCGCUGCACACAUCUUUCUCGUGUAUCACCUGAGGCAUCCCUACUACCAUCUCUUUGUCUACCAUAUUCUUCAUGACUCCAAAGUUCACAUGUCCUAGCCGUGCAUGCCAUGUCCAUGUAACAUCAGUUUCUUGUAUUUGAAGACACUUCGGAUAUUCAACCUCCAUUGGCGUCUGGUACAAUCGGUUUGGUUGCCUUGCGACUUGUACUAAUAGCCUUCCACGGGGAUCUUUCAGCAUCAGUAAGUCUUCUUUCAUAUUGACCUCACAACCCAUCUCGGUUGCUUGUCCAAGACUUAUGAUAUUGUGUUUAAGACUUGGGAUGUAGUAGAUAUCUUUGAGUGCUCUUCUCUCCCCUGUUUUUCCGAUGAACGUGAUCGAACCUUUCCCAACAAUCUCGACGUUUGAUCCAUCACCGAAUUUGACUUUGCCUUUGAUGCUCUCAUCUAGGUUUGAGAAGAACUCUCUCUUGCCUGUCAUAUGGUUACUUGCACCAUUGUCAAGGUACCAUAUACUCGUAUUUCCAUCGCAUUCAUCAAACCUCUUAGGAAACACUCUCUCUUCGUUGAGGAAUACUACUUCAUGCAUAUAUAAUGCAUCUGCUUCUUGUGUUUCCGUUAGGUUAGCUUCUUCUCUUGGUCGUGUAGGACAAUGUGACACGAAGUGCCCCAUCUUGUCGCAUCGCCAACAUCUAACCUUAGAGUAGUCCUUCUUGGUCUUGUCUGAAGCUUCUCCUCCUUUGUUAUGACCAUCAGAACCAUUAGACCUUCCUUGUCCUCUUCCUCUUCCACCAUAACCUCUACCUCUGCCUCUUCCUCGCGAGUUGCUAUGGCUUCCACGACCUUGUGCAUCAUUCUUUACAAACAUUAGCUUCGAUUGAUCUUCAUCUUGGGUUUCUUCUUUGAUGCGUUCUUCGAAAGCCUUCAAUCUCCCAACAAUGUCUUCGAAUCCCGUUGAAUUUAGAUCCAACACUUGUUUUAACGAAGCUACGAUGUGAAUGAACUUCGUUCUUGGAAGUCCCUUCAGAAACUUCUUUACCAGCUUUGAUGCUUCCAUUAUCUCUCCUAGCGCGGCUGUUCUCGAUGCUAAGCUUGAAAGUUUUCCUGCGUAGUCAUCCACCGUGUCUGUGUCUGUCAUCUUCAGUUUGUCGAACUCAGACAUCAAAGUUUGUAACCUUGCUUCUCUCACGCGAUCAUCACCUAGGUUACGGGAUUUGAUAGCUUCCCAAAUCUUCUUCGAUGUAUCAUGUUCUCCAAUCUGAAGUAUUAGCGCCUCCGGGACUGAUUGAAAGAUUAGAGCAAUCGCCAUAUUGUUCUUCUUUGCAUCGUUACUCCCUGGAUCAAUCGUAUCCCAAACUUCGUAUAAACGAAGCAUCACUUUCAUUCGCAUCGACCAUACGGUGUAGUUGGUCGAUGUUAGCAUCGGACAUCGUAUGUCCUUCUUCAUCUCAAGACCUUUAUCACGUGCUUGAGAAUCGUCUCCCAUGUUUUGAUCGAAGUUACAACUCCUCUUGUAAACGACCUUCGAAACCUGGAGCUCUGAUACCAAUUAAAGUUGCACAAACACAAAGAUUAGAAGAACUUCUCUUCUUAUUAGAUUUAGAAACUCUCUCAAAACUAAACCUUUCAAUGUGUUUCUCUUGAUGGAACAUCUCUCCAUGAGAACUCUUUAUAUAGGAAGAAGCUACAUUUUUUCCUAAGAGCGAAGCUACAUCUUUUCCUAAUAAUAAUAUGGAAACAUUCAUAAGCUCGAUAUGUUUUCUUUUUUUCUUAACCCAUCAAACUUCACUUUAAUGAGUUAACUUGCUUCUCAGGUUAAUUGGAAUUAUCAAACAAAUAUUGAGCCAAAGCUGGACCCUUUGAUCAAAGCUUCAUCAACGACAGUGUAGAUUAUGGUACAAAUUCAGUUAGGUGGUUUUGUUAAACCAAUUUAUAGCUUUUAGUUUUCAUUUUUCCCGAGUUUAAAAAUUACCAGAGUCUAAUUACAAACCGAAUCAAUAGUUUAAAACCUCUUUAACUGGUUUGUAAAUCGUGCAGGUCGUUUUCUUCCAUUGAGGUAUAUACUUUGAUGAUUUAUUCAUAAGGCCGAUGCCCUGGGAGAGAUGCUAUAUGUGAUCUAACGAGCAACGAUAACAGGAAACGUAUCAAAUAAGUUUUUAUUAAACAAGAGAUAUGCUCGUUGGGAUAUUUCGUCGAACACCUUCAGGGACUCUCUUUUAACAAAGGCUAGACAUAAACGACGCAUUAACUAACACAUGAAAGUUAAAACCGAGAAGCAGAUCGCAUAACUCUUCAAGCUCUUUCACCACGGAUUCUCCUAGCCAGCUGGAUAUCCUUAGGCAUGAUAGUGACUCUCUUCGCAUGAAUCGCACAGAGAUUGGUGUCCUCAAAUAACCCAACAAGGUAAGCCUCGGCUGCUUCCUGUAGAGCCGCCACUGCGCUGCUCUGAAACCUUAGAUCCGUCUUGAAAUCCUGAGCGAUCUCACGAACCAGACGCUGGAAAGGAAGCUUACGGAUCAGAAGCUCAGUGCUCUUCUGGUACUUCCUGAUCUCUCUCAAGGCCACCGUUCCUGGACGGAAUCUGUGUGGCUUCUUCACGCCGCCGGUGGCCGGAGCGGAUUUUCUGGCUGCUUUCGUUGCCAGCUGCUUUCUUGGGGCUUUGCCGCCGGUGGAUUUCCUUGCGGUUUGCUUGGUGCGAGCCAUUUCGAAAUCAAACAGAGUCACUACGAACAAUCUAGAGAAUGGGAAUGAUAAUGCGAAGGUUUGUAUGUGAAGAGUUACGGACGAAGAUGUGUUUGCUUUUAUAAGAAAAUAAAGGAAAAUCUGUUUUCUUGUCCGUUGGAUUAAAGUACUAUCGACGGUUAAGAUUUCAUGAUGCCAUCAAUCCGCGUGGUUCCAUUUAUCAACCAAUUAAAACACUCCUAUCGCCCAUUUGACCUAUCCGUGUGAUGUACAAAUACUAAAAUCAUUGUUUUUCCAGACCACGGCAUCUUUCGCGCGACUUUUUAUUAUUAAAAAAGUUCGUAGCGCCACUUGAAAAUGCUCGGCAUGAACGAAUUUCAAAAAUAUAGGUAGAAGAGAUUUGAUUCAUCAGUAAACAAUAAGUAAUAGAUGAUACCAUCAACCCGCGUGAUACAGAAAAAGAAAAAAAAAAAGUAAUAGGUGAUACUAUUUUGUGCAUCAAGAGAAUCGAAUGUGAUACAUUGUUGUCAAAUGCCAAUGCUUGAUGCUUAUUUGAAAAGAUGGAGGAUACGUAUAUAGGACUCGAUGCUUGGGUGUCUGACCCCUCUUGUGAGUCGAAAAGUUAUGAGAUAAUGACAGAGGAAGGCGACGAGAGCACUACCAGUGGAAUAUGGAUAAUUAUUGGUCUCCCUCAUGUCACUGUCUGCUUCUCUCUCACACACCUUUUAUACGGCUUCUACUUUCUUGCUUUAUUAACCACGUCUUGUCUCUGUGUGAUUUAAUUGCUUGAAACCAUUUCGUUCAGGCUGAAGCAGAAUUAAUUUCAUCCAUUGUCACCUUCUUCAAGCAAUCUGCACAAGACAAACAUGAAUAUUAUAUUAUUCUGCACAAUCUGGACUCUGGAGUAUUUUGAUUCACUGGAGCUUUAACCUGCCAUAGCUUCUUCCUUGUACAGGUUUUACAAGAAUUGCUAAGGAAGUAACCCGAGAACUUGUUUGGAAGAGUUUGUGUCAUUAUAGACAAGGCUAGCUGUUUAAAGACCAUUAGUUUGCUGCUUGGAGAUGGCUACUUUAUCUUCUAAAAUUAAUUAAAAAAUCCAUCUUUUUAUGAAUACUUUUGCUAUUCUUUAUUUUGUCAACCUACUAUUUAUAUGUUGCGUGGUAAAUAGAUAGAAAAGAAGCCAACUGAUGAGAUAAAAAAGGAACUUGGGUUCACGGGGAUAUCGGGCGAUGCUAUUGAGCAGCUAUUGCAAGUGCUUUCUGUGAAGUCCUUAGAUGAUUUGGAAGGUUAUUUCCUUUAUUAUUCUUAUUAAUCUCUUUCUCUCUAUAAAGCCUCUAAUUUGUUAUAGACAGAUGUGUUUGGUGGAGCUGGAGAAGCCGUUGCAGAUUUGAAACAACUCCUUUCACUUGCUGAAAAGUUUGGUUAUUCAGAGUGGAUACAGUUUGAUGCAUCCAUUGUUUGUGGUCUGUCAUAUUACACUGGUAUUGUUUUUGAGAUUGACAUGAUCUUUCCCAUACAUGGAUACUGGUCUAUUGUUUUCGUGCUAUCAAUUGAUAUAGAAAAUGUUGUGACAAGGAUUUGAUCGAUGCUGUAAUUGUUGACGUGAGUUAAACUCUCUGCUUACUAUUUAAGCUGAAAAAAGUUCAGUUUUAGCCUAAGAAUCUCAGACUUCUUAUUUCCUUCGUCCAUGUAGUUGCUUAAGGAGAAGGAUUUGUUGCCAGAAUUGAGACAGGAGGUAGAGAAUAUAUUGUGUGUGCUUUGGACAAAGAUCUCCAAGGAGCUGCAGCCACCGUAGCAACCGCUCUCAGAAUCAAAGGCCAAACUGUUGAUUUGGUAUUGGAGAGUAAACCGCUGAAAUGGGUGUUCAAGAGGGCGGCUUGCAUAAAUGCAAGAAGGCUGGUUUUGGUUGGGAAGACAGAGUGGGAAGAUGGUUCAGUGAGUGUGAAGGUUUUAUCUUCAGGUGAGCAGUUCCAAGUCAAGCUCAGUGACUUAGAGUAGUAGCACAUGAAAAGUUGUUUCGUUUUUUUGACCAAUAGAAUUGAGAUUAGAUCUUCAUUUGAUCUUGAAAGGUUUAUUUUAAGAACCUUAUCUUAUUAUUUCAAGAACAUUGAAGUGCAUCAGUUUGCAAUUGUCUUCCUUUUCUGUCUUGUUACACAAUUUUGUAUCAGUAACACCAUUCCCCUUGUUGAUGAAAGUUUGGAGAGUUGUUCCGUUUCAUCACUAAUCUGUUUCAUUUUCUCAGUGUAUGUCGCGUGUAUGUUGUUUCCACUUGGGAGUCCAAAUGAAUUAGAUACGACCAAAUAAACAUGAUAGUUGCAGACAUAACCAUGAUCAUAAAUUGAUGAAUAUGUUUCUUACAACUCGGAGUAAAAUAAUCCCUCACCUUAUACUAAGGUAAAAUGUAAAAGAGAAUCUUAAGAACUUACUUCACACUGGUCAAAAGAGGAAAUCAUCUGGUCUUGUUUUUUUUUUGUCAACUAAAACCCACAGAAAGUUAGAAACUAAGAACUAAGUCAUAGUCAUGUUGAGGCGUUAGUACGAUUAUCCUGAAAAUCCUUACUAACAACUGUUUAUGACUUCUGUUGGAAAACAAAUAGCCUCACACCGCGCCUUUUUAGUGAGAGAAUCAGCACAGAAUCAUUCAAUCUACUGUUUUAUGAAUAUUCACCUUUGUAUUUCGGUAAAAGAAAAUAAAACAUUCUCUAAACUCACCACCUACUAAAGUAAAAUGAAAAAUCUUUAUUGGAAAAUGUUAAUCUUGCUACGGUAAAAGGUAUAAUUGUAUAAACUAUUCAGCUUAUUAUUCUACAUUCACCCCAUACCUUGUAAAAGGGAUAUUUCUACUAGCGUAUAUGCACAGAUGACAGUAGUGUGAUUAAUACAAAAUGGUAUGUGUUGGUACGAUUUGCCCUCUAUGGAAUCGUCCAUAUCUUUUGAUCACAUGGAGUUGGAAUCCUAAAAUUAAUUUUGGGAUUUCAAAUUCUUUAUCCAAAGAUAUAUUCAAAUAGACAUACAGAGGUAAAUUGUUGUCCCAUAUAAGAGUUUGCAAUGGGGUAGAAAAGAAAGACUCCGUCACCCAAUAUUGCAGUUUGAUUUGGGUUUACAGCUCAAAAUCAUAAUGAUUAAAAACCCAAAAGAAAAUAAAAAUAAAGAGUCAUUCUUUUUACUCCAGACAAACCCCAAUGCAAACAACUAUGUGUUCCAAGAUGUAUUUUAGGUGAUACCAAGAUGACAGAAAAUCAAACGAGUUGAUAUAAGAAGAAAGCAACCGAAAGAGCUCUAAAUUGGUACAAACGGGUAGUAAGGAAGACAUGUAUAAUUUAAACAAAAACCGGGACUGGACUGUGACUGCUUCUCUCAGGAUUGCACGGCCAGUUUCUGGAGAUGCUCAAAAAAAACUUGCAGGCUCACGUCGUCAGUGAAGAUUACAUCAGACCCAGCUGACAUUUCGUUUGCACUGUUAUAAGUCGCUGAUGGAUUCAGCUUUGCCAAUAAAAACCUUGCCUGUGAAAGUGAGUGGUGUUAAAUGGAUAAAAUCAUUUUAUGAAAUCUUCACUAUCGAGAUGACAAAAAAUCAAACAAAUGUGAUCUGCUGACCUGAGAACCAUGUUGAUCACACACAACUAAUCUCGGGACAGGGAAACGCUCCCGGACUAUCAUCUGGGAAUCCUCUUGGGGAGCUUGCAAUAGUUGAGCAAAGGCCUGACAAAAUACAUCAGAGAUUUGGGGAACAUAUAAAUGAUAGUGUAAAGCAAGUGUGAAAAGAUUACGCAACUAAACAAACAAUUACAAUUUCUAAGUGUGUGUUACCUCAUGUUCAGGCUGCUCAUGAUAACCCAUGUUUCGCCACUGUGCUAUAGUCAUUCCAUGGAAGACAACAAUACCACUUUCUCCUUUCCACUGGUUUAACUAACCCGGGUGAGUUAACAGCAGCCUCAGCAGAGUAGAAGCCACAUCCAGCAAAGCUGGCUGAGGCGGUGAACUGAAUGUAUAUGAUGUCAGCGAUGGUUGGAUCAUGACCGUUGCAUUUGAAAUAUUCUCCCGGUUUAGCAACAUGCGGAAGUAUGCAGUUUCAUCUGGACUAUUGUUAAAGACCUGCCACAGUUCCAACACCACAAAAGAGAAUUAACGAUUCAUUCAGCUAUAUAGGCCAAUCACGUAACGCAGAUAAUCAUGAAUUUAAAAACAGUGUCUACCUGGACAAACUGUGACCUCCGCAGGUUAAACAUGAAUUGAGGGAACAAUGAAAAAUACGGAUUCAGCGUAAACGAGGUUGGGUCAUCCUUUCUAUAGUCACCGAAUUUCGAACACAGACGAAUGAGGGUCCGAUCUAGC